AGAAGGGACAACUAUAUAUGUGGGACAUAUCAAAAUCCUAACAAUAUUCUUAAAGAUGAAAAUAAUAUCAAAAACUUGUGGAAUAAAAGAAAUAAUAUUUUCUCAGUGAAAAAUAUGUUGAAUAAUGGAAACAAAAUUAUCCCCCAGAAAAAUCCAACCGAAUUUGAACUACAAAUCCUAUAUUCUGUACCAUUUGAGUGAGACAUCAUUACAUAUGUUUUAUGUGACCAUUUAAUGUAAAAAUAGAUUUUUUUUAAUUUUUUUUUUCCUUUCCUUACAUUGGAGAUAUUGAGCUAAUGACGUUAAAAGAUUUGCGACAUGAGUGACACAAAUGCAAGAUUGGGGAUAUAGUUGCUUUACUUAUGAAACAUUGGGGGGACUCCAUACAGGAAUUUACCAUAUUUCAAAUUACAAACCAAUGAAAAAGAAAAAUCAAAAUAAAAAGAAUAUAAAAUGGAAUCUAACUAUACUUGGAUUUUAAAUCAAAUAAGAAGUGUACAAAAGCAUAGACAGAUUCAGAUUUUCAUUUUGAAAUUUAACCGACAAUUAAUUACUUAUGUAAUUAGUAGUUCAAACUUUAGGCACGAUUUGAAUUUUAUACAAACACAUUUAUAGCCAAAAAGAAAAGAAAAAAAGAAAAAUGAUAGAAACGAAAAAAGAGAGAAAGUGAAACGAUAUAGAUUGAUUGUUGUAUACAUGAUAUUAUAUUCAAGUUGAAGACCUCUUUCAAGGUGCUACUUCUUUUGUACAACUAGUUUGCAUUCAUGAUGUGUCAUCAAGGGAUGUCAAUGUGCAACUGGUUCGAUUCUUGAUUUUAGUUCUAUGAUUUGACGAACUAAUUUAGUCCAUGUUUGAUAAUCAUUAAAUGAGAAAGAUCAUAUUUUGAAUAGUAAUUUUUAGGUGAAUCUGUUACUAAAAAGUAGAGAGAAAUUUUGUAUUUACAUGCUGAAUAUUUUAUUAUGCAAAUUUGUAAUUGAAAAUGAGUAUGUAAAAAAUAAAUUUCAAAUAAUGAUUUUCAAAUUUGGGCUUAAUGUUCGAUUUGAUUUGAGUGAAGCCACUUAUGUCAAGGAGUUGAAGGUAACUCAGACGUGGAUUGCCUUACGUGCGAAAAAUGCAAUUAGAUCUCAUAUUAAAAGUUCGUGUUAGUAAAAAUGAUUUAAGUGAAAAAUAAUUUUUUUUUUUUAAAUUUGUGGUUGAAAAAUGAGAAAAAUUACGAAUCCCAUAUAAUGUAUAAUUAAAAAAAUUAGUGUCAACGCCCUGGGGCAUAACACAGUGGUACAAAGGAUAUGAGUGAGAUAGUUUCAGCCUUACUGACAAUCGCAGUGUGAGGGUUCGAUUCUUGAGAUAUGAAAUUAGACUCUUUAUGGACACCAGUGUACGGGCAAACUCUUGUUCCCUGCCCUAUUGGAGCACAUCCCGCGAUUUACUUUCUUCACAAUGUUUCAGGGACGGGACGGUGGGGAUUCUCAAGGUUGAGGUUCAACCUUUUUUUUUUUUUUUUUAAAAGUCGAUGCCAAACAAAUAUUGAAUUUUCAAGUUCAACAAUAGACUCCCCACGUGCCUAGAAUAAGCCUAUAUAGCCCCUCGGGGCACAGCUCAACUGAUGGAUCAAUCAACAUUGACUUGCUUCCAGCGGCAGGGUGGAGAGUUCGAUUCCUGGUGGGAACCUGCGGCCAAAAAAUUUGGUAUGGAGCAAUCACUGUGGAGGAGAGUCUCUUGUACGCAGAAGUGUAUAGUCAAUGGGGGGAAUCUGUGAUCCAGUUAAGGUAUAAUCCGCGAUUUACCCUCUCCAAGGUUCUAGGGGCAUGGGUCUUGGAGGUCCAGAAUUUAGUUUGGUGUAAGUUGGGAUACCUGGAUAAAAAAAAAAAAAAAGAAAAAAAAGCCUAUAUAGAACUAAUUAUACUGGCAUGCCCAACCGAGUUGUGCUCGUCGAUUUAGUAAGGAGCACCUCAGUGUAUGCUAUGAUGUAUACUUCUAAAUUUUAAAGUUAGAGUGUGAUUUUUUUAUCCAUGUUUAUCAAGUCGGCCAAUGGAACAAAGCGUGCUGGAUGGGACGAAGUGAACUUAUCUGGCCAUUUCUAAUAAUUUUUUUAAGUAACACUUAGUUUUGUUCCUAGUCUAACAAAAGUAAGCAAAGCACUUGCUUGACUCCAUUAUAAAGAAAAAUUUUAGAAAAAAAUUAUUAUGACCCUGUUUGAGCUCAUUAUUUGUCAAAAAUACAUUUUGAAAUCGUAAUUUAAUGAAGAAUAUGUGGUUAAAAAUAAAGAAAAGAUUGGGAUUUAGGUGUAAAAUUAUUUUAUUGAAAAACAUGUGGUUGAAAAUAAGAGAGAAAAAUGUAUUUUAAAAAUAAUGGAAACGAAUCAAGAGCUAUGGAAUAAUAUUUUUUGGAAGAAUGCGUGUUUAAAAAAGAAUUUUUUUUUAAUUUACUUGUGAUAUUAUUUUAUUAAAAAAUAUGUGAUAAAAAAAAGGGGAUAAAAAUAUAUUAAAAUUUUAAAGGACGUGAAGGAAGGGCUAAGAAAUAGAAUGGUUAAAAGAAGGAAAAGAAAGAUGAUAUUGACAGAAAUGAUUAUCUCCUCGUGUAUGUCACACGCGUGACGUUUCAAAUUAUGACGUUUAGGUAAAGACUUCAACCAUCAUACAAAACUUCUUUUUCGCUUGCAUUUUUCAUCGAUAUCAUUAUGGAAAUUGUUAAAUGUACUAGCAUCUUCUACACGUUAAAUAGACUUUGCUUGUAGAGAUUGAUUUGAUUUUGGACCCAAGAAUAGGAUUUAUCAACUAUAAAUUCAAUCGUGACAACUGGGAAUUAUUAAAUUUUAUUUCAGUUUCGAUACAUUCAAGGGAAAUGCCAAUUUGAAUUAUUCUAAAUAGAGUAUUUGUAUUUAAUUUGGGAUUUAUUACGUGCAAUUUCCAGGAACCAUUGUAGUUUCUGUCCCGUAUAAAGCCUUGAAGGGUUUUGGGUUUUCCGAAGAUUUAUAUAAAGAGAUAAGGUUUUGAUUCUGAAUCAUGGGUAAUUGCUUUUCUGAUUUAGAGGGUGGCAAGCAGGCCGUAGGCGGUGGGAGCCACCAGAGGCCCCAGAAUGUCCGCAGUGAUGCCGGCCACAAUGAUGCAGUGGACCAUUUCUUCAGAACAAAAGGCCUCCACGCUCUUUUCACAAAAAUGGAGGUACAUAAACAUACGUGUAUAUAUAACGUGCUUGCGUCUAUUUAGCAAGGGAUUCUCGGAAUAAUUUCUAAAAUAUUAGUGCUCGGGGCAGACCCUGGGGUCUAUUGUUAGGUGAUAAAAGUUCUUGAUUGCAAGGGAUUCUCGAAAUAAGUACGAAUAGUGCUUGGAGUUGAUUCCAGUACCUAUUCAUUGGGUAUAAGGGCUUGAUUGAAUCUCUCCUAUUAGCUGUAGCUUUUGGGAGAAUUGAUUGAGUAAUCCAGUGAGACAUGGGAGGUUUUAUUUAUAUUAUUAUAAUCGAAAUUAAAAGAUUGUUAUAUGAAUCCAAUGUUUGUGACAAUAGGGAUAUUUAAAUAUUUGGGCAAGCCUGUCCAAUUAAUUUAUCUAACUGCUGAUAUUUGUAAGGCACCAUUGUAGGGACAAUCACAGAUGCAUUACCCCACCACAAUGGAGUUCUCUUAUAUUGUCUAAAUCAAGGGAUGUAAAGUUCUCUCUUGAUGUGGCAAAGAGAGAAUAAUUUUUUUGAACACGAAUUAUUGACUCCUUGGACUUUACUGUCAGGUGGUCCAGAUAUCGAGUUUCGAAAUUCCAAUACUUUGGGAACCAUGCAGGCCAUGCAGCUUAUUUGUAAUACCUCGAGUUAUCGUCAGAUUGAAAACUGAAGCACUCUUGUAGAGUAUAUCACAUGUGAAUUUCUAAAAUAACUUCUUGGGGGGGGGGGGGGGGGGGGGUAAAUUUCAUGGUUUGAGGAAGACGGUCUGGGUAACUGUUCUUAAUUAUUGGUCUUCUACUUCAAAUACUAGAUGAUAGGUUUACAAAAGUGAGCCUAACAAUAAGUAGGAAUCAAUAACGCAUUCACGUGAAAAUGUGGUUUAUGAUAGUAUUUAAACUCUGAAACAAGAUUAGAAUGGAUGAAAAAUCUUGGUGAUUUACUGUAACGAAUGAUCUAGACCUGAUUUCUCCAUUGUUGACUCUAGUGCAUCGUGAAAAUGGCAUUUUGAGAAUUACCUUUGGCAAAAUAUUCAAUAGUUCAGAGAUUCCCAUCUGGCUCUCUUGGCUGAGUAGACCUAGGUAAAACAUGAGACAGGGAUGAAAUCAAGACUUUUCGUGAAUAGAUGGUAUCCUGACUUAUCCUAGGAAAUUAAUAUUAUCUUCCUCUAGUUCCACCAGGAUUUAGUAUCAAAAUUUCUUUCAUCCAAAAUGUUUGUUUUCAGAUGUAUGUUUUGCUGACUGCGUUGCUUAAUCUUAAAUUUAGAAAUACUUAAUAAUUGAAAAUGAGAUGCAUUUCAACAUCAGUAGAGAAGAUAUGAUAGUAAUUGUCUAAGCCACAAGGCAAUCCCUAUUCCGUAAUCUUGGGCUUGUCUGUGAUGGACCAUAUUUGGUCCCUUCUAUUAAGUUGUGUAUUUUGUAGCAUUUGCACUAGAAACCUGUUUGACUGCCCUCACAUUACAUUUUAUUUAAUUGUGAACUGCAGUUAUCUCUAUCAGCAUCAAAGCUUCGUGAUCUUGAUGUCCUGUCUAAGGUACUCAAUUGAAGUUUAGAGACUUAAAUUUAACAUCCCGUUGUCUUUUCAUGUUUUCAAGUGUUGGAACUUUUUUGUGCAUGCAUUAAUUUGGUCCGAUCUUGGUCGUUCACACUUUUGUUUGUAUGCUAUAUCAUAAUAUUUAGCUUGUAGGUCACUUUUUCUAUUUUUCAAAGUGACAGUUUAGAUUUUCCUUUGUCUCUAGCUGUUAUAUUACUGCCUUUGAAAUCCUUGACAUUCUUGAGAUUGUUAAUAUUUUAGAAAUAUUAAUUCUUAAAUGAAUAAAACAUGAAUGCAGUGCCAGAUGAAAUUUAGAAUGGCCUUUUUGGACAUAUGUAGAAUAGAAAACUGAGUGGAGUCUUGAAAGUGUAAAAUUUGUACUCCACGUCAAUGUCAUUGAACUUACUGUGGUGUCACUCUAAGAUCCUACAUAGCAAUAUAUGUGAUAUUAUAUUAUUGAUCUCUGCAAUCACUUCAUAAUUAAUCUGUUGUAAUUUGUUAAAAAUAAUGACGGCAUUAAGAAGAAGAAUAUAACCUUUAUUCCGGAUAAACUUGUUGACUACAUGAAUCUUACCAAUCUAAAGCUCUUUGACAGGUCUAAGGAACGACAAAUUUUCAAUUGCUUCUGGCCACUUUUAAAAAUAUGUAGCCUUGCUGUAGACAUAACGAUGCAUGCACAAAUGGAGCUUAGCAGCAUGUUACAACUCUAGCCAGGAGCUGCUAGUAAAACAUGGAGGAUAUGAAGAAACGUUGUGUAUAAAAAAAUAGGUUUUGGAUUAUUCAAGUUUAAGUAACACUUCAUUGGUUCCCUUUGCAAUAGGAUUUUUGGCAAUCGAGCUUUUCUUCGUUUAUAAUUUUCUCUCUAGAAAGUUACAUGCCAAUUCCUUAUCCAUGCCUGAAAAAUAGGCUCUAGUGAACUUCGAAAAAAUAAAAUAAUCUAAGCGAGAAUGGGAAAAGAAAUUACUUCAAAACACUUCUAGAGUUUGAUGUAAUAAGUUUCUUUCAAAAACAGUUCCGGGCACCAGGAAAAAGAAAUAAAAAAUACAUAGAAAAACAAGGAGAGAACAUGAAUGUGAAGGAUAAUGCCAACGAUCUGAAAUUCUUGUUCGAGAAUAGGGAAGCACGAAUAUACGAGUAAUGGUAUCCCAUUUUUACAACUGUAUCUGCAAUCUAUCCCAAUGUCUAGACAAAAUGAAUGGCUAUUGUACCUUUCUCUAGAUUAACCAAGAGAGGUUAGAAGAAGGGGAGUGAUCUAACCAUUGUAGGGAAGCACCAGGCAGUUGUCCGCUCUCUUUAUAUCAGCCCAUGACUUUGAAAAAGAAUUUUCUACUGAAAUCUUGUCUUCCCAACUCUUCAAGGUUUGUGGACAUCUCUACAGAUUCCAAAUCAAAUACAGCAGAAAUACAUACAUAGGUGUCCUCACUUUUUACUUCUCUUUUCCUUUUCAUGAACUUCUUAGAUGGGCAGGAUAGGUUGAAGGAGAGGAUUGGAGUGGGUCAUUAGAAAUAUGAAGCUUGUUCUGAAAAAUAAAUACAUGGGUGUCCUUCACUUUUUACUUCUCUUUUCACGAAAUUGUUAGAUGGGCAGGAUAUGUUGAAGGAGAGGAUUGGAGUGGACAAUUAGAAAUAUGAAGCUUGUUCUGAAAGUUUUUUCUUUACUUCUUUCACUUUUAGACUUUCUCUCCUUGUGCAUAUUCUAUUUUGCGAACUAUCUGGUCCAUCUAAGAGGAGUGUAAGCAUUUUUUUUUUUUUUUGGGUGGUCGGAGGUGGGGAGAGGAAGCCCUUAUUGCUGCUUUCAUCAGCAAAGCCUUAAAGAUGCUCAACUUAUAAGAAUUGUGGGAUGUAUGGUUGGAUUAUCUUAAUGAUGAUCACAAGUUUCUGUCAUCCGAAUGUGCUGAUUUCCUUAUUUUUUUAUUAUAUUUGAUCAUAAGGUCUUCAAGAAGCCCCUGAGAUUUUGCUAUUUUAUGCCAUAGAAUCAUCUUUGUACUAGAAGUUCACUUGAGUUAGUAUUCCCUUUUAUUAUUGUUCCUUCUAUAUAUAUAAAUAAUAUUUCUCACUGAAGCAUCACAUUCUUCUUAAUUUCAGAGUGAUCCUAUGGUUGUGUCGUAUCAAAAGAAAAGGGAUGGAAGCCUUGAGGAACUUGGUCGCACAGAAGUGAUAAUGAACAACCUGGACCCUGUUUGGAUUCAAAAAAUUAAUGUUACUUAUCAAUUUGAGAUUGUUCAACCAUUGAUGUACGAUUUUAUUGGUUCUCUUUGGAAUGUUUCUACUUUUAUAGAUUGCUGUACCUUUUUUUCUCUUUUGUAUUCUUUUAAUGGUUUGCUUGACUUGUCUAACCAUUUUUUUUCAGCUUUCGCAUUUAUGAUGUUGAUACAAAAUAUCAUAACUUACCUUUGAAGGUAAGCUAUUUUCUUUCAAAAUAUAGUUGAUAUUUGAUUUUAGAUUAAUUUGCUUCACCAUAUUUGUCUUUAUUCAAUAUUGUGAAGCUUGAUGGUGGAUAAAGAAAAAGCAUUUCUUUUCCAUGUAUGUUUGUGGAAAGAUGUUAUUAUAUUUGGGAGAAAAUUCAGAAGUUAUAUUAUGUCAAAGAUACCAUUCAGAUGUAAUUUAAAUACUUUGGUACUAAAAUUUUAAAUUGGCUAUAUUAAUUUUAACUGGCUGAUUUUGAUUGUUGACAUCUCUAGAUGUAUAACUCAAACAACAAUUAAUCCUACUUUGCAGAUGCUGAAGUUAAAUGAUCAAGAGUUCCUUGGUGAAGCCAGUUGUUAUCUCUCUGAGGUGAGUUGAAUCUAUCUGUCAUAUCCUUUGAAUAUAUAAUAAAAAUGCGGGACAGAACAUGUUCUAAAGAUUGUCUUUAGGGGUGAUCUUAGCCGUGAGUUGAAGAUGGAAAAAGCAUUUAUAGUUUUUUAUAUUCUCUAAUAAAUCUGUCUGAUGUCAAAGCUAAUUUUUUUCUGUAUUUUGACUGGUAGCAUGUCUAAUAAUCUAUCUCACUUAAGUUUAAUGCCUCCUGUAUAAUUCCAUUAAUAUGGUUUUACUUCCUACUCAACUUUGUUUUUAUUUGCUUCUACAAACUUCAAAUUUAUUUGCAUCUGUAAAAAUAUAUUGGAGUACUGUUGAGAGUUUGCUUUUGUUUUUAGAAGGAGAGUUUUAUACCUGCUUGUAACUUCUCAUUUCUUGAUCCAUUUGUACAUGAAAAUGUAUUGUAACUUGUGUUAAAAGAAGGUUUUGGUUGAAGGAUGAUUAGUCCAUCAUUUGUUUUUGUGUAAACUGUUAACACAACAGGUUCUACUUUAUCUUAAUUAUCUAUGGUUCUUGGCAUUGUUGUGUUCUGGAUAUAAAUUUGGAUUUUGUGUAGUGUAAUGUUGUUUUCCCUUUCUGCUCGUGACAGAUCGUUACUAGGCAAAAUCAAAGUUUGACCUUGAAUCUUCAUCAUAGAGAUGGACGGAGUUCAAAAAACUUGGGGACACUUACAGUCCAUGCAGAGGAAACUGUUGCUUCCAGAGAUGCAGUGGAGAUGACAUUUCGCUGUUCACAUCUGGAGAACAAGGAUCUAUUUUCCAAAAGUGUAGGUGUUUGCAAAGAAGAAAAGAAAUGAUUUGAAUAACUAGUUAAUAGAGUUUGGUGUCCCUCUAAACUUCUUUUCUUGAAGUGUUCAUAUAUUUAUCUUUUUUAGGAUCCUUUCUUGAGAAUUUCUAGAACUGUCGAGUCUGGGGGUUCCAUUCCAAUUUGCAAGACAGAAGUCGUGAACAACAACUUGAGUCCAGUUUGGAAACCUGUAUGUCUAACGAUGCAGCAAUAUGGGAGCAAGGUAACUUUUCAAACUUGCAUGUCUUUCAGAUGGCAAAGUUUUUUUCCCCCACUUCUGACAAUGUAAUUUUAACAUUAAUCUCUAUGAUUUUAUCAUAUUUGAUCUUUUACGUUUCUAUUUAUAAGCAUCUACCCAGCUGUCACAAGGUAGACAUUCUUAGGUGUUUUGCAUUAAAAAUUGAAUUUGUAGUGUUAAAUUAUAAGUUAUUUAUACAGAAAGUCAUGGGGCAACAUUGGAGAUCAUCACUAAAAGUGUAGGAUUCACAAUUGAUGUCCCAUGUCAUGUCAUUGUACAGCUAUACCAAACCCUCUCUCUUGUUUUUUAAUUAUGUUUCCCUUUUGCAGGAAAACCCAUUGGUUAUCGAGUGCUUUGAUUUUAAUAGCGAUGGUAAUCAUGUAUUUAUCGGGUAUGUAGAAUCAAUUUGUACGUAUAUAGGUGCUUCUAGUUAGGAGUUCAUUUCUGAUCCCCAUCCUGGGAAGUUCAAUGUUUAGUUCCUAGUUUCUUUUCUGUAGAGUUUAGGGUUUCAUUUUUUCCCCUUCCUGUACUGAGUAGUAUUUUCUUCAAACAGAAAACUCCAUAAAUCUGUGGCCGAACUGAUAACUCUUCACCAAAAUAAAACUGGUGCAAAUUUCAUUUCCCCACCUUCUGGAUUUCGGCGUCAUGAAAAGGUUUCUCAUUCUCCUAGUUAAGCAGUGAGUACUUGCAGAGGCUUUAGCUAAUUCUGGCACAUCUGACCUCCUAUCCUUAUUUAUAGCUUCUCAAAGGUCAACUUUUUGUGGACGGCUUAAUUGAGAAACAACUGUACAGCUUCCUUGAUUACAUUUCCAGUGGUUUUGAGCUUAAUUUCAUGGUUGCUGUUGAUUUUACUGGUAGCUGUCUCUCCCAAUCUUAUAUUUUUGUCCUUACUGCAAUUAAAUUGUAGUUCUAGAUUAAUUCAUAUGGGUUUAAACUUGUCCAGCUUCGAACGGAAAUCCUAGAAGUCCAGAUUCUUUACAUUACAUUAAUCCUUCAGGCCAGUUAAAUGCCUACCAGCAGGUAAGCAGGUGGAACACCUUAGUUGAAUAACUGACUUGUUUUCAACAUCUUCAAUUUCUUCUAAAGAAAAUAUAAUAUCCUUUUAUUCGGUGAAUAUAUUCUAAGUACCUUGUUGGAUGAAGACAUCAGUGACUGCCUAUGAUUUGUCAAAAGUUUACUCAAUGAGAUAAAUAAGGUUUUCCAAUGACCAAAGAUGUCACUAUUAGUUUCUUGAUUCUAUUAUGUCAGAGUAAUUUCUUAUCCCAAAAGUUUUACUACAGCAAUUUCCUCUUUUUACUUAGUAUCAAAUAGCAUUUGAAUAAUUAUCACUUUACUUAAAAUUGGGAUUUAAAUGAUAAUACUGACAAAAUGUCAUUUAGGCUAUAAUGGAAGUUGGGGAGGUCAUUCAAUUCUAUGAUUCAGAUAAACGCUUUCCUGCUUGGGGCUUUGGUGGAAGAUCAUAUGAAGGCUCAGUAUCUCACUGUUUUAACUUGAAUGGAAGUCCCAUUGGUUUCGAGGUAACAAUCUUUGCUUGAGCAAUAUUAUUUUCUGAAAAAUUUAAUCUUUCUAUCAUCAUGUGCUUGUUUGGGUUUCAUUGCAUUGGAAACAUAAUGAAAAGGAGUAUGGGUUCUCUGAAAUAUCUGGAUAAUAAAUGGGUGGUAGUUGCGAAUGUGAUUCAAAUUAAUAUUUGACUUCAAAUCAUAAGAUCAUAAUGAAACUCAAACAAGCAUUUCCUAUUAUUACUUAACUGGAAUCGGUCAUGGAAGUAUUUAAAGAUUUUGAUAAUGUUUUAAUUUUAAGCAUGUAUUAGUUUGUAAAUUGUUUUAAACUGGAGAACAACUAGAGGUUUCUGAAAACUAUAGACGAGGCAUGUCAUUAUCUUUAUAUCUUUGGUAGGCUAAAGGACACUGCAUGGAUUUUUCAGAUACAUGUAAUACGUUUAUAUAAAAUUCUCGUUUUUGUUUUUGCAGGUUGAAGGUGUAGAAGGUAUUAUGUCUGCUUAUGCAAGUGCUUUGCAAAAUGUUACUCUUGCUGGACCCACACUAUUUGGUCAAGUCAUAAACAAGGCUGCAGAUAUUGCUGGCCACUCCAUCUCUGACAGUCAUGCCAAGUAUUAUGUCCUGUUGAUUAUAACUGUAUGUCUUGAACAACUUGUUCUUAUGUUUUUCAUGUCUGAUUUUAUUAUUGGGUUAAAAACAUUUUUAAUCACCCCACUUACAGGGUAGUUUCAUUUUGGUCUUUUUGUUGCCAAACCAGUCACUGCAUUUGUUUCAGUUCCUGCAUUUGUCCAUCUCCGUAAGCUGAGUUAGUGGAAAUGCCGAGUAGCUAACAGUAAAUAUGACGUUAACUGACUUGUUAUUUUAGUCUAGCUGGCAAAAUGCACCUAGUUUGAAUCAUGUUCUUUCAGAAUGCGUUUCUGAAAAAAACAAUAAAAGGAAAAAUAAAUCUGACAGAUUUUUCCUAGCUAGACAUUAAGCCCCCGUUUGGCCCCCAUUAAUUUCAAUUCUAUUACAUUUCAUUUUUCUAUUUCCUAUUUUCAACCACACAAUUUUUCAUAAAAUAAUAUUAUACGUAAAUCGAAAACUUUUCCUUCUUUUUCAACCAUACAUUUUUCAAAAAAAAAAAAAAAAGAAAAAAAAGAACACUAUUCCUCCCAUUUUCAUUUCUCCAAAAUGGGGGCCAAAUGGGCCUAAAAAUAAUGCUCUAAGCCAUAUUAGUAUUUUUGUUAGUUCAGCAGCCAUAGAUGUGUGUAAACUGAAAAGAAAUGGAAGUGCUGUGACUAAUUUGAGGGGGAAAAAAAAGGUUUGAUGCAAUAAUUUGACUAUCAAUGUUUUAACCCUUAUAUCAAUUUAAUGCUGUGUACUAAACUUCUAAAUUUGUAGGAUGGAGUCCUCACCGAUCUUCAAGAAACUAUAGAUUCCUUGGUCAGGGCAUCUGACUUGCCACUGUCAAUCCUCAUUGUUGGAGUUGGUGGUGCAGAUUUUACACAAAUGGAGGUAUAUUCUUUGUUUUAUUUAUCAAAGCGAGAAAUUUCUUAAAGAUGGAGUAUUUUCAGUAAUUAAAUUCCUAGAGAAUCUCAUGCGUAAAUUCUGCAAUGCAGAUCCUUGAUGCUGAUACGGGACGUCGAUUAGAGAGUUCUACUGGAAGGAUAGCUACACGAGACAUAGUUCAAUUCGUUCCAAUGCGUGAAGUGCAUGGUCAGCGCCUUUAAUCAGAUAUGACCAUUUGGAUGACAUAAAUUAUUUAGUGCCUUUGGUCCCUUUUCAUCUUAAUAUUUUGGUUCAUCCCAGGAUUUAGAUUGUAGAUUACCUAAAUUAUUCAUCGAGGACUUCAUCAUAAGAUGUAUAAAUACUUUGCAUGCAUUUUUUGUUUAAUGGAUUUAAGAAAUGCUCUGGAUUAAUGGCAUGGUACUGAGGCAAUCACAGUGAUUAUGUUCGGUGUGUUUUAUUGGACAAAACUCGACUCAACUAGACAAUAGAUAAAAUUUUAGUUGGUUUUCCUUUCUUCUUUGCUACCACCUUACAUGUCAAACAUGUAAACUAGUGUAAUCUUUUUCUUCUUGUUUGUGUGAUUUUCUUUUCCAUCUUAAGACAUCUCAGCCGUACAUUUUUUUCAUCCUUUGCAGGUGGACAAAUCUCAGUGGUUCAAGCUUUACUGGAAGAGCUACCAGGGCAGUUUCUAACUUACGUGCGCAGUCGAGAUAUUGUACCUCUUAAUGUGGGCCAAAGUCAUUCUGAAGCACAUACCCAACAAAGGGUUUAAUCCGUCACUGGAGUUUCAUGUUCUCAUACAAAGCUGGUGAUUGGCAUACAGAGUCUGGUUUGCUUUUCUCGGUGCAGUGAUGUAUUGUGAAAAGCAGUGAUUAAAUUUAGUAUGAAAAUGCACAAUUUUGUAUGUUGGGUUAUCUUCUGCUCACCAUAUAUAAACUCCAUUCUCCUGUGAGAUUCGAAGCUUAAAAUGCUACUGGAUUACAUUAUAUAGUUGAGCAGAUCAUGGAUAUUAAGACAAAUUUUUAAAAUAACCUGUUGAGGACUGUUUCGUAAGAACGAAAGAUUGGUUCUACUUUUAAUUUUUCUUGCUUCUGGUUCAUUUUUUCAAAAUUACAUUGCAAACAAUUGUAAUUGAUUAUUUCUUGAAAGAAUAAACUUAAAAUAGUUGUUUAGAGUAUUUGUAAAAAACUCUUUAAAAAUAAAAAGUACGUGAUUAUUAUGGAGUAUUUUUUAAUAGAUCUUCAAUCUGAGAUCUAAUACCACUUUGAUACACUUUACUCACAAGAAAAUACCCAAAAAUAAAUAAAUAAAUAUAUAUAUAAUCCCAAAAAUGUUGGAAACCUGAUUCAAGACUGUCAUAAAGUAAACCUUGACACCAAUAGUGGAAGAAUAACCAUUAGGGCUGAAUAUUACCCUAAUUCCACAUAGGCCUAUGCCCCCAACUUCUUUGCCCAAACACUCCUUUCCAACCCAAAUCAUCAACCCUUCAAUCCACAAGGACACAACAGAUUCGUUCACAAAAAAAUGAGACUAAACACAAAGGAAUCCUUCACCAAGAAGGAGCGAUCAAAGGCAGUGACCAAGAAAAUAAAAAGACAGUUUCAUGAAUGCGAGAAAGGAGCAGCUGAUUUCCAAUUCAAUAAUCUAGAUCAUAUGUUCUUUUCGUGUUUGUAAUUAAUCAUCUCCUAAGUGUUAAAAAUAAGAGAGGAGCAGCCGAUUUCCAAUUCAAUAGUUUAGAACAUAAGUUCUUUCUUUGCAAGUUUCGUGCUUGUAAUCAAUCAUCCCCUAAGUGUUAAGCGUAAUGGUCCCCUUUUCUUUUAAAUUAGUUAAUGCCUUGUUUGGCAAAACAAAUUCAUACCACUAUUUCUCAAUGGAUCCAAAGGCCUUGAUUUAUUUCGAUUGGUGCUAUUUAAACAAAUCUGAUUCAAGUGUUUCAUCUCAAAAAUAGCAAUUUAAUUCUCGUUUGGGCCAGAUCAAUAAACUAGUCUUGUGAAAAUUUUCAAACCACUUUAUUUUCAAUUAAGGUCACUUGAUUUUACAUCACCAUCCACCGAAAGUUAUUUAGCACAAAACCGACAUAUGCCUUUGAGAAGGAUUUUAACUUUGAAUUUCGUACCACCUAUGACAAUCUUUCUUUUUUUCAAAUCAUACAUUUUUUGAAUUUCACUUAGGGAGCAAUGGAAUUUUCUUUAGUUACUUUCCUCCAAUUUUAACAUCUCAUUUAUAUACUAGAUUUCACACAUUUUAUAAGGCUUAAUGCAUUUAUUCAACAUUUUCAACAAAUGCAAUCUAACUAUUGUACAACUUUCUUGCUUUACUUCCACUACCAAUAAUAGGUAUUUGAAUAGGCCAAUAUCAACAACAAUCCAAUCUACGUAUAGAAGUUAUAAUAAUUAAGUAAAAAUUUUCCUGCUAUUACUUCUCGCACUACGAGCAUCCUAUUAUUGGUCAUGAUAACGCUUAAAGUAUAACGCGGUAGUUGCAGUAUUGCUUUGGGGUGUCGUCUCCACAGGGAGAUAAGAAAUUUGUUAAAGGAUCAAAAGUUUAGGGUUUUCUUCGUGUUUUGUGUAAGGAAUUGAUUAGUUUGAAUGAAGUGAAACUAUAAAUUAUUGAAGUAACGCAAUUUGAAUCAAUGUGUGAAAUAAUGAAGCGCAGAAAUUUCCUCGAUUGGUUCGGAUUAAUUACUGUGAAUCACUCAUUCAAAUCACUAUGAGAAACGACAAUAUACCUCAAGUAUAAUGCAGUAGUCAAAUCAUCAAUAAAAUUGUAUGAAAUUGAAAUUCAACAAGUAGUUAAUUUCACAAUAGACAAAACACAAUUGAGUCUAUGAGAAAUAUAGUCAAAGUUAAACCAAUCUCACAACAAUGCUUGAAGUUGAGACCUAAAUCAAUUGAAUGUCACUAUAACUCUAGAAUUUAUAUUUCCUACAGAUAUUCUCACUUUAAUUCAUUGAAAUUAGACUCAAAAUCAAUUACAUACAUCAAGCAUAUAAUAUUAGCGAAUCACACCAAUGAGAUGAUUGAAAUUGGAAUUCAAUACAUACUUAAAUUUUUCAAUGAAAAGAAUAUUAUUAAAUCCAUGAAAAUCUAAUACAUAUUAAACCAAUUUCAAAACAUAUUCAAUAAAUAGGAAAUCAUAAACUAGAAUUGUUUAUCAAUGAAAAAUCAAAUUACAUGCGUGAAGAGACAUUGGCAUCACUGGUACCAAUCAGUUCAUCCCUUGCUUCACCAAAGUUUUCUUAGCCUUACAUGGAGUUUCUGGCCAAAGAUGGGGGGAAAAUGGGGUCCAUGUUCAAUUCCCUACGUUUUGGAGUGUUUUUGGGCUUAAGAAACGUGUCAAAACGUGUUUCCAUAAGUGAUGUUAUCAAUUUAAGGAUUUGGCAAAUUUGGUCUUGGAGGAUAACUAUGCGACCACAUGGUUAUAAACCAUGCGGUCGCAUAGAACAAAUGUGCGGUGCUUAAAAGUUCCUUGGACACUUCUAUGCGGUUGCAUAUAGCUUUUGAACUAUGUGACCGCAUAGUUCAAUUUUUUUUUUGCCUGAUAGUUUUUAGUAUUUUAACCAUAACUUUUCCUCCCAAUAUUCGAUUGAGGUGAUUCAUGUUGAGUUGGAAAGCUAGCACGAAGGGCUACAACUUUUCUUCAGAAAUCAUCUUCCAAUUCUUUCAUUUUCCAUGUCAAAAACGGGUCUUAACAUGAGGCUGAAAACUGGUGUGUAACUUUUUCAAUUGGGAAUUGAUUUGUGAAGAUGUGAUGGUCAUAUUUUACUUCUUUUGACUUGAAACUACACACAAUUGACUCCUAGCUUUCUUGAAUCAUCAUUCCAUAGCCCGUCUCAUCUGUGGAUUAUUUGUAACUUGGUCUCUGAACUUUCACUUUCUUCCACUUUGACUCUUUUUACUCAUUUCUUCCAAAUUUCACCUUUCCAUCAAAUUGCGAUCCAUAUCAAAAUAUAAGAGUAAUGAGUGUUUUUUGACAUCAAACAAUCAUACCAAUGCAACAAUUAAGAGGGCAAAAUAUCAUAUUUUACACUCUUAUUAGAUCACAUAGCAGCCAAAUAGGAAAAUGGCAAAAAAUUCAUACAAGGGCGUACUCGACAUGAUUCGCUUACUUCGAUUAAUCGAGACCGUCAAAUAAAGGAAGCCAAAGUGAUGCCAUCACCUUGGCCGAAGUGUUAUGUAGAGGUUGAACCUCCAUAAUCGAGGCGAAGUGUCGUGAUUUAUUGUAGGCCAUCUAUAAAGUGAAGUCCUUUCUUCCAUAAGUCAUCUUAAAUAGCUUUGCCUCAUCUAAGAGUUUCACAGUAUGAGAUCUUUCAAACGAUUGUCCAAUUUGACAUGUCUUGCAGCAAAUGCCUCUCAGUCAACUUUUCAAACAACUUUUCAUGUGUCAGACUUAGGUUAUAGAGUGGAUGCUUUUUAAAGUCAUUUAAUACCCACUCAACUUAGGCAAGCAAAGGUGACGCCUAUGAGAAUAACGCAUCAUCCUUAAGGAUGAAACCAUGUGCCAUCCAUCCAAUGUUAACCACCUUUUCUCUUCUUUUAUAAAAGUUCACACUUAAUAUCAUUUACCAAAUUUUACACUCGCAAUAGUAACUUUGUUUGGUAUUCUCUCUUCAAAUUCGAUUAUCAUACACACUCUUGUAUCUCUCAUCCACUGUUCCUCUCAUAACCAAAUAUAUCUAUAGUUGACUGAUUUGAUCGUUGAAGUGAUCCCUGUCGCCUCUUCCAUUGCUGAAGAAGGUCACGUGAAACUAAUGAUUUGUUCAAGUGUGCAUAAGUCUUAUAUAUGUAAAGAGUUGGAAUCAGGAUUCGUUGGCCUUGUUGUACUGUUGAAAAUCGAGGUCUAUGCUCACAUUUAUUUAAUAAUUGGAAUAAUCUAUUAUGGCGCAUAUGCAAGGAAUUUUGAAUGCUAAUUUAUACUAAUAUCAAAAUUGAAUAGACUAAUUCACAUUAAUAUAAAAAUUUUAACUGAGAUUAAUUCCAAACAAAUUAUUUAUGUAUUUUAAUGAUAAAAUAACAAAAAAAUUAAAAAUAUUUUAAAUGAACCACUUGUGAUUAAAAAAUUGGUUGUUAGUCGUUGGUUUCUCAAAUUCUUAUGUUGAUAGACGAAUCUACAAGUGUACUCAAUUGAAAUUUUAAGAUUUUAAUGAAUUUCUUGAAUUUGAAUAGAUUUCUAUAUAAUAUAUAAUAACCUCAUUAAACUGGUGAAAUUUUAAGAGAAUUUGUUUUGCGUAUUUUUAAGCUUGAAAUCCAUCAAAAUCUUUUGAAAUUCCUUUACUAAUGAAAUUCUUAUAAAUUCACGAUUUAUUAAGGAUAUCUAGAUUUUAAAAGAUUUAAUUGAAAUUCAUUAAAAUUGGACACUUGAACUUAGAAAGAUUUUUAAAAUUGUAAAAUCCCACACUGCACAUUCUUGUUAAUUUUGUGGAAGAUUCUAAGUGUACAGAAUUUAUACCGGGCGAUAACUAUUUUUGGCAACAAUCAAUCACGGGAAGACAACUAUAAAUUAUGUUAAAAACUUUAUGUAAGUGUAGUGCUUCUCUAAUUUGACUGAUGGUGAAAAGAGAGUGGGAAUUGAUUGCAUUACACUUUCUACUAUUAGGUUAAAACUAUAGCUUGUGAAUCUCUUUAGCAUUAUAACUAAAUCCCAUAAUUAUGUUAAUUUUAAGUUAGAGCCCAUUAGGUAAAUUUUGGUCGGCGACUGUACUAAGUUUUUCAGUUAAAAUUUCUAAAUAUUUUGAUCCAAAAUUUAUUAGAAAAUUUGGAAAAAUGGGGAUUUUAUUUUAUAUUUAUUUUUAGCUUAUGUUUGGAAGCGAUUUUUGCCUCAUGAGAAUUGAUUUUUGGGUCACAUCAUACAGGUCCUAUUGCAUGUGUGCACUGUGUGCUUUAUUACAAUCAACUUAAAUUGAAAAAUUUGUCUCUCAGGCAAGUUGUUCGAAAUUUUAAAUCAUUUCUCCACGAUCCACUCUUGAAUUAUCAUAUUUUGACCAACUUUACAUUCCCGUAGCCUUUCCCCAUCACUAAUUUCCAAGAAAGAAUUUUGUAGUGCGGGGGGCCCACCAACAAUUACCAAAAAAAGACAAAAUGAACUUGAACGAAAGCAAUACCGGAGCUUUUUUUUUUUCCCACUUCUAAAAUCAGUAUAAUGAACGAAGACAGACACUACAUACUAUAGUUUUUAAUGAUUACACCAUUCUUCUAUGAACAUACACCUACUAACAUUGAGCCAAAUAAUCGUGAAAACAAUCCCACUCAUUUCAUUACAUUUCUGGUGCAUUCAUUUCAGCAGUGGCUCAUUCUUGUCGCCUGGAAGAUCCACUACCAUCAUUUUAGAAUCCGUCUCCAUUCUUGCGAACGCCUCGUCCACAACUUCUACUUGUCGAAGGAAGUUGUGUAUACCUAUAGUAGCUAUGACAGCAGCAGUUUGUACUUUGAAAUUGUAACUUGGCAUACGGUUGAGUAUUUUCCAUCGACUUUUUCAUACACUAAAUGCACGCUCGAUCACAUUUCUGCAGGACGCAUUUUUGAAGUUAAAUUUCUCCCGUGCAUUGCAAAAGUGUCUUCUACAGCACAUGUACCCAUCAUAGAAUUACUGGAGAUGGUACAAUAUAUUGGAUCCCUUAUAUGGAGCCAUGUACUCCGGUCUGUGGGUGAAUCCCGAAUCGACAAGGUAAUAUUUUCUCGGAGUAGGAUGUAGAAAAUAAAUUUCAAGACUAUGCAUAGCCUGUGUCGAAAUGCGUGAAUCGCGUGUGGUUUCCUUGAAGCCUAUAAGUACAAAUGUGAAACACAAAAUGAAGUCACAUGCUGCUAGAACAUUUUGCAUUCGAAUGUCUUUUUGUUAGACAAAAUUUACUUGUUCGUAUCGCGGCAAUACAGUUGUAACGUGCAUUCCGUCAAUUGCGCCUAUGCAAUUUUCAAAUAUUGAAUGCUUGUUCAUAUUUGGUACAUGAUGCUCCGCACUGUGAUUAUAGUUUGGAUCAAGUUGUAUUUGAUGUUGACCAAAUUUGAUGGCGACUCCGAGCACAAUCUUGAAGUAGUGUCCAACAAUUUCAAAAGAACGAUUAAAUAGCGUUUGUACCUAUCUGUAUCCUUUUUCAUGCGAUUCAUGCACAAAAAAUCCCAACUUGUUCAUAAACAUCUACAUGCUGAUGACUACGCAGCCUGAAGUCGUCGCAAAGUAUAUGCGUAGCAUUGCAGGAUACAUCCUGAAUUCUGCGUAAGAUUUUCUAGACUACAUUUCAUGGCAUCCAGCAUGAACACGUGUUCGUUUCUUGCGAACAAAAAUCUUCUAAUUCGGCAUCUUUGUUCGCGAUAGUAGUUUGCGACAUCCACUUUUGAAAUGCGAUAGCAUCGAAACCACACCACAAUGUCAUCCUGGAGUUCUUGCACAAAUUCCUCUUUCCCAACAUCUUCUUCACCAUUAGAGCAGGGCAAAAGCAGACAAUUGAAGUUGAAAUGGGCCAUUCUACCUACUUAUUUUAAUGAUGUCGCCCUAUGCACUUAGAGGUGAAGUAGAAUAGGAAGAAAUCAUUAACAGUGCUAUUGGCAAGAAAUUGUGUGCAAUGGAAGAGAAUUGUUUCAUUUUCCCAUUUAUAGAAGUUGCUUCAUAGGAAAUUGUGAUCUAUACAGAUAAUGGCCUCGUAGCAGGACAUGAAUAACUCACAAGAAAAAAAUAUUCUUGAAGCUAUUGAUGUUACGUGUACUACUGAUAGAGAGGGGGAAAAUUUGCUUUAGCAGGAUUCUUGGAAAAGUUGAUGUCUCAAUUCCAUAAUAGUUGGCAUGCAAUGAAAAGCCAACAUAAAAAUAAUAUACAUAAAGUUCAAAGUACAGAUAUGGAUGUAGAAUAUCAAAAGUACUAGUACUGUCCAAAUCACCACAUACAAUAUACCCCUACGAGAAGGAAAUAAGUCCUAAAAAGCAAACAAGUUUGUUAACAUAAAUCGGCCGUAACGGGAAAAUAUUAUUAAUCACACAUCUCACUUCAGUUGAGCCUUCAUAUACUCCUGUUAGUAACAUUCGACCCAGUCGAAUUUCUAUUUCUCGUCUUCUUGCAUUUCCAGUAUCUCCCUAUUUUUUCUUAGGACAGAAAUGAGCACAUCCAGAAGUAUAAGUCUGUUUUUCUGUAAUCUGUCGUCACCUACAACUCUUUCAUGCAUGUCUUAGCAUCAGGUACUUUAAGACUAAUAGAAUUGUUGAUUUUGGCAGCUACUCAAUCACUAGAAGAGGUUUUGCGGUCAACAGAAAAUGAUAAUUCCUGAGCUGAUAUUUUGGAUCUCUUCUCUUUUUCAUUGUCCCUGCCAAACCUCCCUUUGUCUCCCUUUCACAGCCUAGACAGGACAUAUCUGUAUCUGCUCUCUCACCCUCAUCAUUUGACCCGUUGCCCUCAUCGUCGAUCGGAUGAACGUCUUACAUGUCUUCGUAUCCACUAUCUUCGAACAUGGCGAAUCCUUUCUACAUAGCUUUGUUGAUGUGAUUGCGUACUUGUCGCUGUCGAAGGCGUCCCCAAACAGUACCUUAUAGCUGUAUAUCUCUCUGUAGCCUUUGUCUCUGGAUUCUUUGUAGUCCUUGUUCACUUGUCCAAAACACAGUGAAUGAACUCUAACGUAAAAAAUGUACAAAGCACCGAGGACAACGUUUUGAAGAAAAGACUAUCGUUAAUGAACAACAAAAUUUUGAACUUUUCACAUGUAACCCAAGGUUAAAGAGAAGAUGCCAUAAAAUCGUAAGUUGGCAUCCAAACUUGAAUGCAGAGUGGUGUCCACUGGAAUGUAACUAUGCUAUUUUGAAAUAUCUUUGAAGUAGUGUGUUCUCGUUGCUUGAAGAAUGUACGGGCAAACUAUAUAACUCAGUGAUUACAACACUAGAUAGAGUUUAAAAGACCUAUGUUCGCUUCUUCUCAAUUCUAGUGGCUAGAUUCGAAUCAGGCAAAAAUGAGCAUUUGGGCAUCACUUAAGGCGUUACUAGUUAUAACAAUACUAAAAUCUUGAAUACAAGGUCCAUAGUAGUGCAAAAAAUUAUUGUAACGUAAUUAAGAACUACAUGAAAUGGAUCGAACAAUAAAUGAUUGCAAACGCAAACUGCAGCCAUAUCCGUUACACCAUCAUAUACAGACCAAUCUGGAGUGAUGUCUUGUUAUUCACCAUCAUACACUAUUCGUUACACCAGCAAUGUCAAUAAAUGAUUUCCUAUCUCUUUUGCAAUUAUGUGGUUUUAUAGAUAAAUGACCAUGACAAGCAGGGGUCGUAUUUUACUAGAUUAUAGUAAGGCAUUGAAUACUCGUUCUUGUUAUUGGUUAUGGGAAUGCAAUUUUUAUAUAACCAUCGUGUAAUAGAAAAAGGAUGGCGGCAGGAAGCAAUAUACCUUAACCUUUCACUCCCACCACUCUUUCGAGGUAGUUAUUGUUCCCUUGGUAGAGAUUUAUUCAACACCAGUGCAGUUCACCAACUCCUGCAGUCGUUUAUACUUUUGCCGAUGAGCAUCCCAAUGAUUCUUGAGUUGCUGCUUCGUCCAAUCAUGCCUGGAGUUAAAGUUAACAACUGGAUGAGUUGAUUCCAUCCGUGUCUAGUGAAGCGUUUUCUGUUACGGUGAUCGUCAGCUAUUACUGUCUCGUAGGCGAUGAUGAAAAUCUGGUUAUCUUGUGGAGUCCACACGGCGUUUUUCCUGCCCAAUGCUUGGUUCUUGCUUGGAAGAGGGUUGAAGGUGGACAAAGGUAUGUUUUCACCCAUCUGCGACGAAAAAUGGCCAACAAAAAUGCUUUAAAUAAUUUGGGAAUAUCAUACAGCAUACCUAUAUAUGCUCUGUCGUUUACAACAAAUGAACGUGUAGUCGACGCUUACCGUGGGAAAAUAUGAAGCCAUGGCUUGAGCAUGAUAUUGAAUGGACGGACAGGUUCGACGACUGCAAAAUAUCGGUAUGGUCUUGCUCAUCGACAGGUCCUGCUGCGUGGAGAUAAAAGCAGGCGCCGAUGAUUUAGUGCAAAAAAAGAAUCGUCUUCCCACAAUUUUUUAGUGGUCGGAUCUGGAAACGGACUUUGCGGCUGGGGUGAGAGAAAAUCCUAUGGUCUACUAUAAUGGUAGAAAGAGACGAUAAUGGCAGAGAGAAAAGGUAGUGGGUGGUUGAGACAUGUAAAGAUAAGGGCAAAGUUCGAAAGAGGAGAUUAAAUGCCUGUUUUGGUUUUUCAGAGUUGUCAGAUUUUGUGUGAAUAAUUUAUUCCCCAACGAUCAUAUUUUUGUUUUUCAAUGGAAACAGACACACCCUUAAUUGAAUAUAUGAAAUAUUUUUUAAUUGAACAUUCGAAGAUUUGAAAAUAGGUCCUUAUUGACUAAUUAACAAAAUUUCACCAGUGGCUGUAUUUUUUUUAUUUAUCUACUGGAAAAUUCUAGGCCAAAAUUAAUGAGUGACAAUAUACACUAUUUAUAACUACUCUUCCCAAGUGAAAUGGAUGAAUUACUUCACAUCUCUAGCGAUUUGAACUCAAGACUUCUUCCACAAUAAAGAUUUAAAUUGAGUGCGGGUACCAAUUAAAACCAUCUUACAAGUUUAGUCAUACCCAAGUCAAGAACAACAAUAAUAACCAGUGCUUUAAAAAUAGGGCCAACUCAAUCGAUUCAAUUGAAAAUUGAUAGUCUGACCAAUCAUUGGUCUAGUUGUAACUUUUAAAUAGCGUGUAUGUAAACCAGUAUUAAUUGGACGGUUCAAUCAAUAAUCGGUUAACUGAUUACAUUUUUACCGAGUUCUUCAAUUGGCUUAUAAGGAUAAAAAUUAAAAAGAAUAUGCCAUUCGUGAAAGAAAGAAUAGUAGACAGUAGCCAAAAAAUAAAGGAAAGGAAACGAGAAAACUGAAGAUGAAGGAUUGGUGGAUGCGAGUAGCUCUCUAUUUUUCGUGAUGCAGGUACAUUGUAAUGUGGCGGCGAAGCUAGCAUUCGGCGACGUGGCGUGUUGGAUAUAGCCCACUCGCCCCUUCAUUGUUGCAGACUAAAAUCCCCCAGAAGCUUGAUGAAGAUGAAUUGUUGGAUUAUGACCAAUUUUCUUUCUUUUUUUUUUUUUUUAAAGUAGGCCCAUUACCCAUAGGGGAUAGGCUGCUUUGUAUUGUGAAUUCGUGAUCAUGAUUUGGGUAAUUAGUGAUGUUUUGAAAAUCAACUUGGGCAUUAACUCAAAAAAGAGAAUGGAUCAGGGGUCAAAGGGUCGAACCAUAUCGAACUGGGACAAAAUAUAAUUAAAUUAAAAUUUUCAUACAUAUAUAUAUAUAUAUAUAUAUAUAUAUAUAUAUAUAGAUAUAUUCUAUUUAUCAAGUAAAAGAAUAUUUUUAAUAUUCAUAAUUUAACUUUUAAUGAUUAUUUUAAUACCCAUAUCACAUUUUAACACUAAAAAUGGGCCCAAAUGCAACUAUAUAUACAAUAUAAACAAAACAGAAUACAUAUUAUAAUAAAUUAUGUUGAAACCUACAUUUAAAAAUAUAUUUUCAAAAAACAGGGGAUUAAGUUCUAUUUUCACAAAUUAGGUGUUAAUUAGGUUUAAAUAAUUAAAAUUAAUAAAAAUUUAAUUACACCUAAUAUACAUACAUCACCCCACCCCCACGUAACCUAUUUUCUCUCUCUCUACCCACGACACACCUACCUACGCAUCCACCCCAACCAACCAUAUCCAGAAUCAAAGGUUGUGGUGGAGCUUUUCGUUGGGUUGGAGGUACUAAUGUUGCACGCUACGUCGACGACUUCAUUGCUACAAGCAAUCGUGUUAGCCACACCACUACAGUUGUAAGUAGUACUUGGCAGCGACUCCGCAACGAAGCUUCUUAUCUCCGGUGGCAUCGCUGUUGCUGCAAGUAGCGACGAGCACGACUCACAGCAUUGACAUGGCGAUGCUUUUUGCUGCUGCAAGAGUAGGAACAUUGGUGCAGAUCUGCGCAUUGGUGAUGCUGUUGUUAGAUCUAGGUGAGAUGGUGGUGCGAUGUCGGGAUGUAUGGGGAUGGUGGUGCUUAUACAUGGUAGUUGUACGAAUCUUUGAAUUCGUGGUAUGGUGUGGUGUGUGAGUUGUGGUGGUGGCGGUGUUAAUUUAUAUUUGAUGUGGAUAAGGUGGUAGUUAUAGUAGCGAGUCGGUAGAUUGGAGAAAGUAGUGGUGGGUUUUAGUGUAGGUGGUGGCAAUGGUGGUAGUACCAACAUGAGCAUCGUUGGAGGUAGUGUUGCCCAAAAGACAAUCCGUAGCUACUGGUGUUUGACUUGAUUUUUGAUGUGUUUCGGAAGGUAUUAGGCCUAACUGUUGAUCAAUGUUUGUAGACGAGGUUAAGGUGGACAUGUUGGUGGCAUAGUCCGACAGCUUGGAUGGUGUUAUGGAUCUUUCAUAAGGUGGUAGUGGUGUGGUGAUUUCGGUUGUGGUGAUUAGGAUUUGUUAAAAGUGUUGAUGGUGUGCAUUUGAUAUAACCAACUUUAUCUUUAUUGUGACUAUCUGUGAUUAGAUCUAAGUUAACUGUGAUUGUAUGUGACUUGGUUACAUACAGUCACAAAUUAGACUGAUAUGGUCACAGACAGUCACAUUAAGGACAAUGUUGAUCACAAUUAGUCAUAAAUAACACAUAUAAGUGAAUGUAGUAAAGUUGGAGGUAAAGGGGUGGUGACUAGCGGUGGAUUGAGGUACUAGUCUGCGGUGUGUGAAGAUUUGUUAGUGGUGACUCUUUGUGGUCAAGUAUGUGUUUAUUGUGAAAGUUGUGACCAAUUCUGUUAAUUGUGAUCGAUUUUGAUUUGAUCACAUACUGUCACAAUUAAGUUUGACUUGGUCCCACAGAUAGUCACAUUGAAUACAAAUUUGAUCACAAUUAGUUAUAUUAAAUACAAAUUUGGUCACAAUUAGUCACGUAUAAUGCAUGUUAGUGACUUGGAAAUUUUCUGGAUGGGUGUGAUAGAAGGUUGAGGUGGAAUGGAGUAUGAUGGUUCCGUGAUGUAGGAUGUAAUGUUCAAAUUUUAAUUUUUGAAAAAUUUUUGGGAGGUAAAGAUAUGUAGUGGGGUAAGUGGUUUUGUAAGGUGGGUAUGAUUUCCAAUUUUUAAUUUCUGGAAUUUUUUUCGGACGUGGAUAGUAGGGAUGGGUGGGCUUGUGGAGGUGGAGUAUGGUGGAAUUAACACCUGAAUUUUGAAAUAUUUGACAAUUUUGUUAGUUUUAAAAUGUAAUUCUUAUAUGUGGAAGUUAUGUAUUGUUCCCUACAUAUUAACUAAAAUUAAAUGGGCCAAAAUAAAAACCCUACAUUCUAAAUUAUUCCUCAUUACAUCUCUACCUAUAAAGAAAAGAAGACGACGCCUCUCUAUGCUGUGGAUUCUUUCUUCUUCAAUUUUUAAAAGUUUUUUUAUUUUUUAUUUUAUAGAUUUUUGGGUAUUUAAAGUAGAGAAGAUGGUUUUACAUCAAUGAGCUUAAUGUAAACGGAAGAAGGUAGAUGAAAGACCAGUGCUAAAUUUUGAAUUUUUCUAAACUUCUUAUUUUUUUCCUCUCAAAAUCAACCAGGAAACUCAGUAAAAACCACAACCAGGACGUCAAUAUUUAGUUAGGACAUCUGGCUUUUUGAUUUUUAAGCCAGUUCCUGACCUAUGGGUUUUAAGCAUCAACUGAACCGAUUAUCUAUCCGAUUCUAGAUUUUUCCGGUUGAACCGACCAAUCCGGUUGGGUUUCCAUAAUAUUGGUAAUUAGUAAAAAACGUAUUUACCCUUCAAUGUUAGUAAAACGUCCUCACUUUUCAUUUUUUGGCAUUUUCACCCUUCUUUUACAUUUCUUUGCAGAAAUCAUCAUUUUCAUCUAAUUUUUCAAUCAAAAGUGUAAAAUACAAAUAUGCCCUCCUAUUUAAUUAAAAAAAAAAAAGAAAAUAAAAAUUAAAAACGAAAGUGAUUUUUUCAAUUUUCAAUUAUUUAUUUGAAAUUUAGUGUUACUUUUUUAAAAACUUGAGAGUAUAGAUGUAAUUUGUUCUUUAUUUUUGUUUUACUUAAAGAAGAGUUUAUAUUUGUCAUUUUAUAACUUUUAAUUGAGAUAUUAGUUCAUUAUAUAUUUUUUUUUAUUGAGAAAUUGGAUAAAAAUGAUGAUUUUCGCAAAUUAAAAGUAAAAGUAAGAGCGGAAAUACCAAAAAAUGUGGAUAUUUUGCACAUUAACAUUAAAAGGUAAAGGUACUUUAUGUCACAACUCCAUUUGUAUAGAUAAAUAUACAUUACCCUGUGUGGGAAUGAACUUGAUGACUCGACCUAGACAUAGGAUUCCACAUUUUUUUUUCACCUGAUGAUACGACAUAAGCAUUUUCACAAGUAUGUCCCUGUUUGUUAACUCCUAGUCACAUGUGACAAUCAUAUAUUAUAUCAGAACCAAAAUUAUAUCACCAUAAUCCAACAUAUAUGUUUUGAGGUUAUAAACAUGUCUACAGGUCAUGUCAAAAGAUAUACAAAAUAGGAUCCCCAACAUAUAACACAAUAAACCAUAAGCUUAAAAAAAAAACCCCACAAAAAAACCCUACAGAUCGUCAUCCAUGUACAUCGAACUCUGGAAUCCUGUGAGAGCUCCAUAGCUAGUCGUGCUCUCUAUGUCGUUUCAGGCUCACCUAGAAUGCAAUAACUAUAUAAACCAAUGCUUAGUAAGCAAAAAUCAUGUAUGUCAUGAAUACGAACAAUAACGAUAUAUGCUACUAUGCCAUUUACUUUAAGCAUCAUAAUAAAGAUGCAUCAUACUCCAAUAUUCAUUAAAUUCGACUCGAAAUCAUUUCAUUUCAUUGGGCCUUUAACCCACUUACUAUACACUGGAUAAAGCUCUGCAUAAUAUCAAUAUCAAUAUCAGAUGGCCAAUAUGAAAUCGACACCGACGAGUGGACCAUCCUCUCGUGACCAUUUGAGGCCCAUCCCCUAACUAUCCCUAUGAUCACCCAAGAAGUCUCCCACCCGACAGCGCUAAUAAUCAUAAUAUCACAAGGGUAGAGUCCAGUGGUCCACCCUCCCAUAAUCACUAAAGCCCAUCCCCUGUUUAUCUUUGCAAUCACCCAAGAAGUAUUAUCCGCAAUGCCAAACAUAUCACAUAUGCAUGCCUCACAUGCCUCGGUGUAUUCAUAUGAAAAUGCUCAUGAAUGAUAUGUUUAAUGAAGAUCGAUAUCAAUAAGUUCCGCAACCGCAUCCUCAAAGAUCAUAACCAUCAUAUGAUGUACAAUAAGUCUCUUAUCAAAGUUAUGUAAAUAUUUCAAUACUACCAUAUCACAAAUACUAGGUUCUUGCAUCGUAGUUGGAAAUGGAUUUUACUUACCUUUUGCCCUUGUGUGUUCAAGCUCCUACAGAGUGUGUAUCAAUUUUCUUUUUCGUUCAACGUCGAAAAAUAACAUGUAUUACCAUCUAAUAUUAAAGAUAAUCCUCAAUUUAAUAACCUUAACACACACAAUCACAAAAUACGUCCAUUCACACCAAAAUAAUUUAGACAAAUUCAUCAUUUCAAGUCUUCGAUGGCAUUACAAACGAGUCCCAUAAAUCUCACUAUUUCUCGAGUCCAAUUAUGAAUGCCAACAUCAUCCAAUUGUUGUAAACAACAUAGUACUCCUUAGAAUCUAUUUCCUAGGCCCAAGAGAUGAUUAAUGGAUAUGUAAAGGUUGAAAUGACAAUAAAUAAGGAAAUGACAGAAUCUGUUUUUCAAGUUUCCAUCGUUGUCCAACUAUUUUUCCAAUCCUCUUUUACCCCCUUAACUAUAUCCAACGACUCUCAAAUUUUUACCGCACUUCUAUAACAUAUAUAUGAAGGUAAUCAUGCCCUAAAGUCGUGACAAUUGAAGUGUUUUUAGCCUCCAAAAACCAUCCCUUUUCACCACACCAAAUCAGGCAGUUUUAUUUUCCUUGUGACAAUUUUCGGUUUCCAUUUUUUUAGUAUGCUACCAACAAAACUCUAGGCCAUUAACAUCAUUUCAAUACUUCAUGCUUGCAUAUAAAAACAUUCAUAUUGAUAGGUAUAAGUUACAUUCUAACUAUCAUCCAGAUUACUUUCUUUCAAAUUCUUGUAAUUAAUUACCCCUAUUUUGGCAUCAUAAAGUCAUUAACAACACUUCAACUAAUCACAAGAAAAUUCAUAUAUUCAAGAAAUUAUAAACCCAUCAAGAAAUAAUGGAUACAAACCUCAAAACGGUGAAGCAACUCAGCAGUUCAGAAAUUCCAGCUUCCUGUUUCUAUUUAUCUUUAACUCUUUCACUCUCUUUUUAACUUGGAAUCACUUAGGGACGAAAUAAUGGAGCUAAUAUAUUAUCUAGGAGGUGAGGUCGUGUUUCUUGCUUAAAGACUGAGGAUUUUGUGGGAUACAGCCACUUCAAGCUACUUUGGUGAGUAAUAAGCAGGAGGUGGCUUCUUGCUGCAAUAUUUGACCUUCUACCAUUGUAUUUGGAUUUGUUUAUGACUUAUACGAUAUCUAUAUCCAUCCUAAAAGAGAUCAUGCCUUAAGAUUAAAGAAAUUGAGUGUUAAAAUGACAAAUAUCCCAAGCAUGAGGUGUCCAAGCAUGAGGUGAUCAUUUGUAGUAAAAAUCUGAUUUUAUAUCUAUCUUUGCAGGUACAAAUUAAGUAUCCUUAGCUUAUUUUGAUGUGUUUACAAUCCAUUUCACUUUCCCUAAGAUCCCAAAAUAUAUUAUAAAACUAAUUCCUCAACCGUUCAUACAAUGACUUACUCGAUCGACUCCCGAUUCUCAACCGAUUUCAAUAAUUCGCACCUCAAUAUUUAUAACGUCAUAUGAAACGGAUAUUAUGGCGUUGAAUUCAUGUCACUUCAUGCCUCAUGUCUCCAAUAUGUCAAUUACCUAUCUAGGGUUUAAGGUGACCUUGAUCAACCGAAUGGAAAGUUUGAACCUUUGUCGAUACUAAUUUUCGACCUAAAUUUCUAUCAUAGUUCAUGUAAAAUUCACCACCUAGGUCUAGGAGUCAAAGAUAGUCACUGUAUAAAGAUUUUAAAGCCUCGAUGAUUGAAUGCACUAUUUUAAGAGAAAGCAAUUAGGAAAUUGAUGUAAAUAACAAUGUAAUUAGCAUGAAAUGCAUGAAUCAUAUUGGCCAAAUGUAUAACAUGAAAUUUGGGAUAUUACAUUUUGUUAAUUAUCUUUUUUGACAUUUUAUUAUGAAAACCAUCAUUUUCAUCCAUUUUCUCAAUUAAAAGAGUAAAAUGACAAAUAUACACUCAUUUUUAAAUAAAACAAAAACAUAGAAAAAUGAAAAAUAAAGAACAAAUUCUAAAUAAACAUUUGGAAUUUAUUCUUUUUUUUUUUUUUUGAAAAUUUUGAGAGUAUAGUUGCAAUUUUUUUUUUCUUUUUCUUCCUUUUGUUUAAUUUAAAGGGAGGAUAUAUUUGUCAUUUAGCUUUUAAUUGUGAAAAUAGAUGAAAAUGAUGAUUUUAGUAAUGAAAUAUGAAAAUAAGGGUGAAAAUGUCAAAAAAUGAGGAUGUUUUGCUCAAUAAUAUUGAAAGGUAGGAUUGUUUUGUACUAAUUAUCUUUUUAAUAAUUUAUUUGGAGUCGUUUGCACUUUUAAAAAAAGUUCGUGAGUAUUAUUGAAAUUUGUUCUUAAUUUUUUUAUUUUUUUUAUUUUUUUGGUUUCAAUUAAAUAGAAGAGUAUAUAUGUCAUUUUACUUUUUAAUAGAGAAAUUGGACGAAAAGAAUGAUUUACGCAAAGGUAAAAGUAGGGGUAAAAAUGUCAAAAAAUGGAAAGUGACGACGUUUACAUAAUAGCAUUAAAAGGUAUGGAUGUUUUGUACUAAUUACCCAUUAUGAUUUAUGCACCUCCUAAUUUCUAAACGUGUAUGCAGACAACCCAAUUCCAAACUAUAUCUCCCUAGUCCCUCUCGAUGUGCAUCCUCAAUGCUGAGAUUUCACUUUUCGCCACUGCCAAUGGCCAGUUUUGUGAGCCUCUCUUAUUUUUGUUUUUGUUUUUUAGUUCAUUUUUUAUGCCAUUUUUGUUUGAAAAUGAUUUAUGAUUUACAUUUUAUGAAUGUAAGCCCUACAGUUGAGGUUUUUGAUUUAUGAAAAUUAGCUAAUUUGUGAAUAUAUGAUAUUUGUAAAUUGUGAUAAAUGUUGAAAAUUGAUGAUAGACUGAAAUCUAAAGCAUGUAGUUGUUUAAGCUUACGAUUAUGGAUUGAGGUUGUAUCAUUUAUUUUUCUUAAUAUUUUGGGUUGUAUUGAAUUAUAUUUUUAUUUUUUAUAUUUUAGUGCAUUUAUAUAUAGAUUGAAUUUCUUUUUAUAUUAUAUUUAAUUAAAUAUUAAUAAAUGACCUUACUAUUGUUGCAAUUGACAGUCGAUGGUCAAUGGUUGCCCUGGCUCAUCGACACACUUGAAUUUGCCACUGUGGUUAUGAAUAGGUUAAUGUUUAGGGUUCAAAUUUAUCAUAAUUGCAAAAUUUGUCAAAAAUCAAUUGAUAUAUGACAUGUUCUAACAAUUGAUCUCGACCUAUAAAUUGGGUUAUUGUGAUUCAGUAUGAUAUCUGAUUUUGACAUAAUUUAUAUGUGACAUAUUGGCCACAUUCAUGUGAUCAUCCAAUAUUCCCCUUCCCCAGUGCCGGAAAAAGGGCCCACGUGGUCUUGUUUGAGAAGCAUUAUUCUUAUAUAUAUUUAAUUAAAAAUAUUUUAUAAAUUAAAUAAAUUAAUAUGACAAUAUUAUACAAUUUAUAAUCGUAGUUACGUACUAGUCAAUCACAGAAAGUCAUAGUCACAGAUCAUAAAUUUUGUAGACUAUUACUUAUUUAUCAAUUACAAAUCACAGAAUAUAUAGGUCACAAUUUAUUUAUUGAUUAUCAAAUUAAUUGGUCAUAAAUUAUUUAUCGAUAAAAAAUUAUCAAAUUAAUUUCUCAUAAUCUAACAAACUGUGAGUUUUGAUUACAAAUUUAACCGUAAUCUUAUUUUUUUUACUUCACACAUUAUUUAUUGAUAAAAAAUUAUCUAUUUUAUUCAUAACUUAUUAUUUAUUGAUCACAAAUUAACUAAUUUAAUUGUCCCAAACACUCUUUAUCUCAACCCACCCUUACCCAACCCCAUCCCAUCCCAUCGCCACACCUCAUCACCACAGCUCCACUAUCAUUGCCAAAAGCACAACCAUUGCCAUAGCAUCACUACAUACACCGCAACCAACUGCAAACACCGUCAUUGUACUGCACAGUACAACACAGCACAACACAUUACCAUUGUAUCGCAGUGUACUACACUGCACUACAUGGUACCACCACCAAUCGCACAGUACUCCACCACCACUACACCACAUAGCACACCACCAACACACCGUACCAUAAAAACACUCCAUCACUGCACCACCAUUUGAACUCUUGCAAAACCACCAUUGCACCAAAUGCAGCGGCAUGAAGGGCGUUUACUAUGAUGUUUAGUGACACAGUUUCUUGUAGUCGUUACUCCCAUCACACUAUGAUGUUUAGUGACACCAUUUCUUGUAGUCGUUACUCCCAUCAUUGAUGAAGUUUAUGAUGAUCUGUUUUCAAAUGAGAAGAAGUAGCUUGUUGGAUCUGAAGCUUAGGCAAAGUGCUUUGUUGUUCGUAAGAGUUUUUUUCGGUGGUUAUAAGAUAUACAUAUUUAAGUUAAAUUACAACGAUAAAAUGUGUGAUUAUUGCAAGAAUAAAGGACACAUUAAAAGGAAUUUCUAUAAAUUGCAAAAUAAGGAUAAAUUAGUUACUGCAAAUCAGAAGGAAAAAUAAUUAGAAACUUCAAGACAAGUUAGGAUUACAGAAGAUGAUUAUAAUGAUGGAGAACUUCUAAUUAUUUUUUAUGGGCGACUUCAAACUUGACGAUGAUUUAAUUCUUGAUACAACUUGCAUGUUUCAAAUGUCCUAAUCGAUAUUGAUUUUCAAUUUAUGAAACUAUUUCUAAAGGUGCUAUGAUAAUGAAAGUAAUGCACCAUAUAAGAUAGUUGGUAUUAGAAUGGUCAGAAUUAAGAUGUUUGAUGGGACUAUCAGGAAACUUUGUAAUGUGAGAAAUGUUCCUAAUUUGAAGAGAAAUUUUAUCUCAUUGAGUACUUUGAUUCAAAAGGAUACAAUUGUACUUGUGAGGAUGGAGUCCUCGAGGUUAGCAAAUGUUCCCGUGUUGUGAUAAAGGGGUAGAGAAUGUCCUAAUUAUAUGUCUUGCAAGGUUUUACAAAAUAUAUUAAUACAAAUUAGCAAAAAAUUAAGCACUCGUGUGGAGUUUGAGACUGGUUUUAGUACCAUUGAAGUUUGGUUUAGGGUCUAGAUUAGAGAAUACAUCUCAGUCUAGUUCAGAAGUAAGGGUAGUUCCUCUUUACCACUACAAUCAAUGUUGCCACAAUAUUUUAUUGCUAAAGACAGACUCUAAAGAGAUAUUAAGGUCUCCACAGAGAUACAAUGAGGCUGAUUUGGUUGCUUAUGCUUUGAUUGCAACCAAGUUUGAGCAGGACUUGGAUUUAGUUGGUAUUUGUUGUUAAGUUUGCUCUUAGAUGCUUUUCUGGAAGAGGUAGAGAUUUUGUAGAGCGAAGUUUAUUUUUUGUAGUGAAAUUCGUGUUAAGGUGGAGAUUUGUUAGAAUUUGGUGUGACUUGAAUUCCAUUUGAGAUGUCUAUUAGGAGUUGGCUAAAUGUUUUGAAGAAGUGAAAGAUGACAGGGAGAAUAAUUUGACGGAAAAACGCUCGCUAACCAUGUAGGAGAUUCUCAAGUAUUUCAUUAACUCCAUGGCUCGCUAAUUGCCUGGUUAGUGAUCGAGCAAUGGAUUGAUUGCUUGCUAAUUGUGAGACCGUUGCUCGAGUGGUCAUGUUAUUGGCCAGAAUUCUAAUUGUGAUUUUAGCAAUUUUUGGAUUCCUAUUCAACUUCCGAAAAUCCAUUAUUUGUUAGGCCUAUUAUAUUAAGACUCGACAAUUUGUUAGACUCUUCUUGUGUUAUAUAUAUAGGAGUACUUGGGAGAUUGAUAUUACACAAUUUGUAAUCCUCCAUAUUUGGUAUUAGUGAAUUCUUCUCUUCUACCGUAGUUUUUUCCCUAGUUGUGUUUUUAUGUAAAUCUUGUGUUCUUGUCAUUAUUUUUCAUAUUGCCAUAUUCUCAAUUAAGUUUCAACAAAUUGAUAUUAAAGCAAGCUGGUAUCCGUUGUUUCUUCUGACAAUAACUUCUAUAUCUUAUAUUAGUAUUAUCAGUUAUGACGUAUUCCACUUAUCUAAACAAAUCAUAAAUAAAUUCUUCUUGGUUAAGAUGUAUGAAGUAGGAAACCAGUUGAGAUGAAUAUAUUAUAUGCUAUUUUAUAUGGUUUCUACAUUCUGGUUAGGAAGCCUCGAAAACCCAUUAAUCAAAACUAAGUCAAGUAGGAAAGGGUAGAUCUGUGCUAUAAACAAGGUAGGAUCAAAUAUUUCGAAUUCUACUGUCACGCUCUAUACAUAUAUCCUUGUCAAGGAGAUCGAGAUAUGUUCAUUGUGUAUCCAAGUGCUACAAAAAUAAAAUAUAAGGGGUCUAUAUGCGAGGAAAAAAGGCUACGGAAUUGCCAUACAAUUUUCAUUUGUUUGAGACCGUCGUAGUAGUUUUUUCCAAUAAGAACUUUCUCGCCCAAUGUUCGUUAAGCACGUUGUCCAAAAAAAAAACGAAAAAGGAAGAGAGAGAGAGAAUUUAGUUUUUUCUAAUCUUAUCAAGCUUUAUAUGUUUAUCUUCCUAAACCAGCCAUUCAACCUUCAGUGUCACUAAGUUUUGUAAAUUAGGAUAUUAUUUGAGUUACCAAUCAAUAAUGCUGUUUAUGAGUUCCAAUGAGAUUUUUGCUUUUUAGUGUGGGUUGGAAAUUGAGACAAAAUCCUCGAUUUUCUCCUAGGAUCCUUGUUCAAAAAUUUCUUUGAGAGUUAAAUAUUAUAAAUGUAUGAAAAAAAUAGCGACAAAAAUUUUUACGUGAAAAACUUUCACAUUGAAUAAAAAUCAUGAACUAUUAAAAGAGAGAUAUUCGACUUGAACCUUUCACACACCCUAUACCUGAAGCACAAUUCAAAAUAAAACACUAAGUCUCACCUCAAGAUAGUCUAUGACAAUCUUAAAAAUUAAGAUAAAUAAAAUACUAAGCUGAAGACUUAAAAGGGAUACAAGCUUAAGGUAUUCUAGUUUCUUUUAAAAACUACUCAAAAAGAAUUAACAACGAAGAAUUGUUGGACGGAUAUAAUUUAUUUAUUUAUUAUUAUUUUUUUAAUGCAAUCUGUAGAUGUGAAUUCCUUCCCCCAAUCAUCAUGAUGCGGCUACUCUAUUAUUUUUUUUUCUUUUUCCUUUUCUCUUGUCCUUUUUAUUUUGGCUUGUAUUUAUGCAAUAAUGGCGUACCCAAAACCUUUUUUUAAUUUUAUUUUCAAAACUUUAAUUCUCUUUCUAAUCAUAAUUUAAUUAUUAAAUAGACGUAGUCACGGAGCUCAGCCUCAGUUUGUCUCGCUAUAAAACAAAAAUUUUCAGUUGUGACACUUAUUUUCUAUCACACAUUCACAUAAUAACAUAUUUUGCAAAUCACAUUCUACGUGGAAUAGACAAUUACACACCUAAUUUAAUUGGAUAAUACCAAGUCAAACUCUCAAAAAAUUGAAAACACUUGAAUACGACCCGGCGUCCCUAAGGCAUGAUCAAAUAAUUGGAGGUCUACUAUUUGGCCCCAAUAGUUUUGUUUCGUAUCGAGGUUGCCUCAUCAAACAAAUUAGAAAACUUCCAAUCGAGACUGCAUUCUACGAAAAAUGAAAUGUUGGGGAACUGUAUUAAAGUUCAUUACACAUAAGUUUGUGAAGAAUUUUUGGGUUGAUAUUAAGCGCAGAAAUACAAUAAUAGAAUACUAUCAAGUACUACAUAGUCUUAUCUUUCAAAACAAGCAUAAGCAUAUGGAUCGUCGCUGAUUUAAACUAGGAAAUUAAUUGAGCAAUGUGUCAUAAUGCCAUUUUCUCCAUAUUGUUAUAAUAAAAUAUCGUUUCCACUUCGUAACUCUCUUUGAUUUUUUUACUUUAAAUAUUGUUUCAACUUUGUGAUCUUGUUACAUAUUUCAUAAAACGUCAUUAAUCUCAAUCCUUGCGUUGCCUUUGGAAUUAACAAGAAGAUGAUAGAUUUGUGUUAUCAUUGAGGUAGGAUUAUAUAAUUUGAGCUCCACGUUAAGCCCUAGAGUGUUUAGUUUAUAUCUGGCUCAAUAACUAUGGCAUCGUCAAGGAGAUAGAAAAAGUGUUGAGAGCCAAAUACAACAAAAAUAAAAAUGAGGGGCUUAUAUGCAACAAAAAUAGUUAGAAACCUAUUUACUAAAUUUCACAUUUGCUUGAGACUUCAAAUAUAAUUUUCACACAUAAGAAUUUUCUGAACCAGAAAUUGAUUGACAAUACUAAAUGCAACUCUUCAUGACAUGGGAAUAACCGAUGUGUAAGAUGGCUCACGCCACCCAUGUUUGGAGUGUAAUAUGGUUUGCGGGUUUGCCCAAGGCUCGAUGCAUGCCUUAGAGCUUCUAUGGUUUUCAUUAUGAUCAUAUUAUAGUUUAAAGUUAAACUCAAACAUUAAUUUUAAUAAUACAUUUAGAAUUACUAUCCAUAUAUUUCACACGGGAUCCAUUACUCAUCUUCAUGAUAAUCUCAUUAGAUUUUCCCAAUUAAGUACUUAGUUGAGAAACUAUAGACUGAUUAUGACAUGAGCUCUCCUCAUUUUGCACAAAGCCAUCGAGAUCAAUACUGGGCCUCUCGGCCGUCCUCAUUAUACACUACUACGUAUGACCCGAGUUAACGUUCUUCAAAUUAACAUUUUUUCUACAACUUGUAUAGCUUUCUUUAUUUAAACAAUUAAAAUAAGUAGAUUCAACGAAAUUGCAAAAAGAAUAAUUUUUUUUAUUACAAAUGAUAUAUAUAAAUGAUAAAUGAGGUCAUUCAUCCUCAAUUAUUUGAUUUGAACUCGUCAUUUCAAAAAAUUAUAGGCUCCAAAAGUCUUCAAAUCAAAAGUAAAAUAUACAAUCAGAAUCAUACAUAUAUUUCUUGACCAUGUUUUGUAUCUAGACGGAUUGAAGUGAACUUGUUCAAAGAAUAAUGGCAGAUUAAUAAACUCAAAGACGUUCAUCUAUUGGACUGAAGUUUUUUUCUUUUUUAUUUUAUUUUAUUUUAUUAUUUUUUUUUUUUUUAAGCAGUCAUUUUCUUCUGUUUAAUGACAAUCCAUGGAAAGUGGGACAUUUUAACAAACUCCCAUUUGAUUCACAUUCUUUGGCCACAAAAAUAAAAAAUAUGAUCCUUAUCUAUCUAUCAAGUCAUCAUAUUUGAAUUUCUAUCUUUUGUGUGAGUUCCGUAACGACUAUAUUUUUUAUUUUCAUUCUUAUAAAAAUGAGUAGCAAACGGGACAAUUUGAAUAGUUUUUCUGACUAAAGAAAGGAUCAUAUGACUUGAAUUUAUUAUUCAAGGAUUGAACGAGUAUCAGUGUACUGGGGAUGUAAACCAAACCGAGCAACUCUACACGUAUAGAAAAUUGCUUACCAAAAUUGUACCAGAAGCAAAGUGUCAGCAAUCUGACAAAAAGUGGAAAAAAGAAACUAGAUAGAUGAAAGCAAAUUCUGUCACACCUGCAUUCUGUAGUAGUUCUGUUAAACUACUACUGUACAAACAGUUUAAACCAAACCGCAAUUAUUGACCAAAAGAAAGUGAAUAGAGUUUAGAUAAUGCCAUUGAAGUAAUGAUCACGAUGCAAAAAUGCUUUGUCCCAUCUCGCUUUACCAUGCUUUAUUGAGGAAACAGGACGGAGAAUAUGGUUCUUGCUUCAAACUUGUUCCCAUCUUAUUUUAUUUUAAUAUUUAAAUUGUAUUUAAAAAUAACAAAAAUAAAUAAAUAAAUAAAUAGAGAUACUUUAGUUCCGAUGUUGUCCGGACCGUGCCACACAUCCCUGCCUAGCCCCUUGAAAUCCUUGAUGGGGUUGGCAUACUAGGAGGGCCACCGUGGUCCCAUCCUAUUGUCAUCCAUACAUUGAAUGCAAACUUUAAAUGAAUAAACGUGCCUAGACUUUAUUUAAAGUUCAUACCGUCACAUGAUAAAGACAAUUGAAAUAAAUACAAUAAUAGCUUAAUCUUUUAGACGAUGGGACUUAAAAAAUGCCACUCUUUGAUUUGUAUAAAAACCACAAGCUUGUUAUUGGUUUAAAUAUCUACUAGUCAAUCGGUCAUUGUUCUUCACUACUUUUUUCCAGAAAAUAACAUUCCAAGAUGGCAGAGAAAAGCAAGAUUCUGAUAAUCGGAGCAACUGGUUACAUUGGAAAAUUUAUUGUGGAGGCAAGUUCAAAACAUGGACAUCCAACCUUUGUUUUGGUUAGAGAAACCACAGCUUCAGAUCCAAAAAAAUCAGAAGUCAUACAGAAUUUCAAGAACUUGGGCGUUUCAAUAAUAUAUGUAAGUAAUUAUUCGGAUACUAAUUCGAAUAUCGAUCAACUGUGGUUCAUUGUUAUACUUUUUGUUUGUUCUUGAUGAAAUUACAGGGAGAUAUCUAUAAUCACGAAAGCUUAGUCAGCGCGAUCAAACAGGUCGAUGUCGUGAUAUCUGCUGUUGGAACAACUACAAUUGCUGAUCAGGUGAAGAUUAUUGCAGCCAUCAAAGAAGUUGGUACUAUCAAGGCAAGCAAUUGUAAUUUUUCGAUUUUUCUCAAGUCUUGUAAUAUUCUGUUACCCAAAUGUAAAAAAAGGUUCGUUUUCAGAGAUUUCUGCCCUCGGAAUUUGCAAGUGACGGGGAUAGCAUGAAGGCAGUCGAGCCAGCAGCAAGCCUGUUUAGAGAGAAAGUUAAAAUCCGGAGGAUCAUCGAAUCAGAAAAAAUCCCAUAUACUUAUGUAGUUUCUAAUGGCUUUGCUGGCUACUUCCUGCCUACAGUAGGACAGUUAGAUGCCAAAGCUCCUCCUAGAGAGAAAGUUGUUAUUUUAGGGGAUGGGAAUCGUAAAGGUAAUCCAUUACACUAAGCAUUUAAAUCUUCAAACUAAAUUUAGAGUCGACUAAAUGAAUUAUUUUUAAUCACUUUCGAUUUGUUGCUAUGUCUACUGAAAACAACUAAAAUGUAACUUCAAAAGAUGUAGAAACUAUUUUUCAUCUAUUAUAUGACUCAAAUCUUGUGUUUUCCAUUACAAGCGAUUUUUGUCAAGGAAGAAGAUAUAGCGACGUAUACUAUCAAAGCUGUUGAUGAUCCAAGGACCUUGAAUAAGAUCCUUCACAUUAUCCCUCCUGCUAAUGCACUGUCCUUCGAUGAGCUCGUUUCACUGUGGGAGAGUAAGAUUGGAAAGACCCUUGAGAAAACGUAUAUAUUAGAGGAACAGCUUCUCAAGAACAUCCAAGGUAUGUUGGAACCAUUCUACGAUUUUACUUGGCAGUUGUUUGUCUCCCAUUCUUUCAAAACUCCAUUUUUUAUUUUAUUUUUUUAAAUACUCAUUUUCAAUCACACAUUCAUACAAUAAAAUAUUAUACACGUAAAUCCAAAAAUUUUCUCUAUUUUUUAAACCAUAUAUUCUCCAAAUAAAAAAAAAAGACUAUUUACAAAGAUAUUUUUCGAAAAAAAGGGCAUAUAUUUGGCAAGUGUUUAUGAACUAUUUAUAAACGUUCAAAAAAAGUUCAAAUAAAUUUUCAAUUAUAGAUUUCAUGGGAUCCAUAAGUACUACUUAAUAUCAACCACUCUUUUCUAUCUAUACAAAUCCAUUUAUGAACACUUCCCAAACAAGCACUUGGUUAAAUGGGGGCAAUUCUAAAAUCUUGUGAUAAUUGCUAUUACACCUUGUGAUGGGCCUAGAUGGGUGGUAGAUUGGGCUUGGUUUGCAAUGAAAAUCGAGCUGGCCGAAACCUGUAAGUGGACAACUCAAGCUUGUUUGCAACUCUGUCGGUCUAACCUAGGACGGUAAUCGGGCUCGCGGCUUGGGCAGUCCGUGCUCGACUCGAGGCUCGGAGACACCAAGCCAAGUCUCAAGCCGAGCCCAAUUUUGGGGAGUCAGCUCGACCACGGGCCGACACACACACACACACACACACACACACACAUAUAUAUAUAUAUAUAUAUAUAUAUAUAUAUAUAUAUAUAUAUAUAUAUAUAUAUAUAAAAUCNNNNNNNNNNNNNNNNNNNNNNNNNNNNNNNNNNNNNNNNNNNNNNNNNNNNNNNNNNNNNNNNNNNNNNNNNNNNNNNNNNNNNNNNNNNNNNNNNNNNNNNNNNNNNNNNNNNNNNNNNNNNNNNNNNNNNNNNNNNNNNNNNNNNNNNNNNNNNNNNNNNNNNNNNNNNNNNNNNNNNNNNNNNNNNNNNNNNNNNNNNNNNNNNNNNNNNNNNNNNNNNNNNNNNNNNNNNUAUAUAAUCUCCAAACUGUCGUCUGUUGCCUAUUUGGAAGCUAUUAUUUGAAUAGUCGAAAACAGCAGCAUAAAGAUGCUGUCGGGUAAGGCUUGCUGCCUUAACUGGUAGCUUUAUGGCUGCCUCAACCGGCAGCUUUAUUUAAUGCCUGUUUUUGCAUCUAAACAGUUGCUAAAUAGGCAGUAUAAAGAUGGCUGCCUCCCAUCGAGGUUGUUAUAAAGCUGUCGGUUUGACAGCUAAGUAGGCAAACAGGCAACAAAGGAAAGGAAAAAAAUUUCGAGCAGGUUUGAGUCGACCCUUCUCGGCAAGGCUUGAGCUGAAAGCUCAAGUCAAGCUUUUGCUUGACUUGGCUCAGGCCAAAAAAAGGCUCGAGGUAAAAAAGCUCAAGCCAAGCUUAAGCUGAAAUUUUCGGCUCAGCUCGCUGACACCCAAAGUCCAACUCAAUUAACAUCAGUACCUUCAGCUUAUUUUCAGACUUAGUUUCACAUUACCUUUCUCUACCAAACAAUCAAUCUAAGGGUCCAACCCACAACCAAUAUAUUUACCUCGGUUGCUUCUAAAUCUUACCCACAAACAACAAGAUAAUGGUAUAAAUUUGUAGUCACAAAGGCAAGAAGAAAAUCAAUGAAAAGAGGCAUAAGAGGAGACCAAAGACAUAAAAAGCCAUUAGUUUUGGAAGCACAAAGUAGUUGAUUUUUCUCUACAAUAUGGCAGUCAUGUUUUCUUCUAUGUCCAUAUCGAGAUUCAAAGCCAUCCAAAAUGUAAUAUGUAUGGGUUGGGUGGAGUUUUUGGACUUGGUUGUUGGUAAUUAAUUCACGAUUGGUCGAGGUCUGUAAAGUUAAAUUCUAACAUCUAAUAUCAUUGCUCGAAAUUUAUUGUGUAACUUUGAUGCCCAAUAAACCUGCAAGAAUCAGAACACACAGUUAGUACUUGCAUAAUCAAGGUAAUCAAUAAAAUCGGAAUCACAAAACUUACCUCGUGUUUUGGACUUUAAAUACAUACCAUACUUGCUCCACGUGCUCACUAGGGUUAAGGCCACAAACAAAUAUCCAAGUAGAAGCAGAUAAUUACAGCGACCAUUUAAGAGCAAAUAAUCAUACGAUGAAGAUAUUAUAUAGGAUAACACACAAAUCUUUUAAAAAAUCAUGUUCACAUAGAACAAAGGUUAACACCAAAUUAAUCAAUAAAUUGCCAACACACAUGCAACAAAUGCAUAAAUGACCCCAUGAAAAGAUCUCGCUACACUUAUCCUAUCCCAUUUCAUGUUUAUACCUCGAGAAUACAUAUUUCCUCUUUAAUCUCCUACCAUGCUCACUAGACUGAUCACUAAACUCAUGUUUAACAAGUAAAUCACAAUAGAUCCUAAGUUUUUGGGAUAAUCCUUUAUUACCACAUUACUUUUCCCAACCUAAAUGCAUAAUGAGUCUCCACCUAACCAAAGUAAUAGAAGUGCCUUUCUCACACUCCACCUUAUCAGGGUAUUUGUAGACAAAAGAUUCUAACAUUGAAUCACCCCUCCACUUGUGAUACAAAUGACACACUCCACAUCCUUGGUAAAAACCACCAAUGCAUACUAAGCAUCUAUACUCCACAUUACCAAAUAGACAUCUCACAUUUGCUGUUAAUACAUCCUAACCCACUAUGCAUGAAAACAAUUACACUAAGUAGUAAAAUCACUUCAAUUCAUGUAGUUGCGUACACACACAAACAAAUUAAAAGUAUAACAUAUUAACGCAAUAGAAUUAAGCAAUCACAUAAAUGCAGAAAUGAUUAUAUGCAAAUGUACAUGCUAUAAUUAUGUUUACUCAAUAAAUCUCACUAUAAUCAUCAUUCGACCCUUCCUCACCUAUCUUCUUACUCUUCUACUUAUCCUUUUUCUUAGGCCAUUCCCUAAUUAAAUGUCUAGACUUACUACAGGUGUAACAUCGUCUAACGCUAGACUUGACCCAUCCCUUGUCUUGCUUUUUACCACCCUCAUUACUCGAGUUGCUACUCGAAUCACGAUUGUAUUGAGCUCUACCUAAAUUCAUUUGCUUAAACUUCAUUCUACUCUUCAUCAUAUGUAACUCCCCACUCUUCUUAUUAUUUUUUUUUUUAGCCUUAAUCCCCAUCUCCUUACUCUUAAGGGAAUCUAUGAAAAUAUUAGGUGUUAAGGUGUCCCUAACAUAGUUAAUUGCAUUCUUAACAUUUUUAUAUGAAUUAGGCAUUGAAUUAAGCGAAAUAAUGGCCUUAUAAGAUUUAGAUACCUUUUCAUCAUAGUUAAAAAUAUUUUGAACAGGUUUGUUGAAAAUAUCCAAAUUGUCAUCAAGAUUCUUUGAACUAUAUAUUUUAAAAUUGAAAUAUCUUUCAAGUAAGUACAACUUAUUAGAAGUGGACUUAAACAAAUAUAAGUCCUCAAACUUUUGCCAUCAUUGUUGAAUCAAGUUUUCCAACUUUUCUCAAAACAGUGUCAAAUAGAUGUAAAAUAAUUGAAGUGUAAGCAAGUUCAUUAUAUUCUUGUUUUUGUGCUUAUGUCGAAUUUGCAAGAAAUUUACCAUCUAUGUCUUUUGAAACUUAUUGUUAAACUAAAAUCUCUUUCGACUUUUGUUGUCAAAUUGAAAAAUUACAUUUUCUAUCGAAAAUUUCAAUUUCGAAAUGUGAUGAUAUUUUUGAAAGACAUAACAACUAAAGUGCACAAAUAAGUCACAAAAAGUAAUCCUAAGACCGUAAUAUACACAAUUCUAGAUUUUCAGGAUUUUGUAAGAUUCACGAUCUUAGAUUAGGGGAUGUUCAAACGGGUCAAGUCUAUGUGUUUUAAUAGAAUAAUCCAUGCAAUUCGAAGAUAUGUUAACAAAAAUCAAGUUCUCAUGCAAUGUAGACAAUUAAACACAGACCAAUUAUUAACUUACGAUCAAAUUCAUCACUUCAAAUAAGGCAAAUAAUUCUAAAUUUCUAGCAAAAGUAAUGUUACCUCUUUACGACAACCCAAAUCCUAACGUCACUUCACAUGAUGAUGCACUAAUGUUGAACUUUAAAUUGGGAUAAGCAAAUGUAUCAGAGCGUACCAAUCUAAUUUUGUAAAUUACAAGAUUUGCGAUUUAUCACUUUGGGACUACCACUAUUUGUCCUAAAGUCUCCAGCAACCAAUCGACCACGAUCGAAUCUCGAAUGCAUGAUGGAAAAAUAUGUCUAGAUUCCACUGUAUAACUUGAAAUAGAAAAUUAACAAUACCAAAAUGUCAGAAAAACUGUCAACAACAAAUUGCCUAAAAAGACCUCCACCGGAAGACUCCACACAUGCCUUCACUUGCCACCAACAGUCUCUAUGCGUGGGCUUCAUGCGCUGCCGUUGUCGAUCAUACACCUCACCUCCGGGAUCACCUCCACUUGCACAUCACGCUGGUGGUCUCCGUUUUACCAAACUCCUUCAAGAUUGAUCGAAAAUCACAAAAAUAGCCUCAAUUUUUAGGAAAUUUUCUAGACAGUUUUGCAAUCUGAUUUCUACUUCCUUUUAGCCCAUUUUUUUUAGAUGGUUUUUGAUCAAAUUUUUGUGCUAAAUCCACCACAUUGAAGCUCUUAUACUAAUUGUCAUGAAAGCUCGCUCCAAGGAUCGUCAAAUUGAUGAUUUUUGGGCUCGAUUUUACAUUUUCUUUCUCUACCAAACAGCCAAUCCAAGGUUUCAACCCACACCAAUAUAUUUACCUCGAUUGCUUCUCAAUCUUACCCACAAAGGACAAGAUAAUGGUGCUGAUUUGUAGCCACAAAGAAGAAGAAAAACCAAUGAAGAGGCACAAGAGAGACCAAGGACACAAAGAAGUCACUAAUUUUGGAAGCACAGAGCAAUCGAUUUUUUUCCACAAUAUGGUAGACAUGUUUUCUUCUAUGUUCAUACACAAAUUACACCCUAAAAUGGCACGGGUAGACACACACACACAUAUAGGGUUAGAUUAGGCUUUAAAUGGACCAAUAAUAACGUUAGAUGGGACAAUAUACAAAGACAUUCAAGAUGUAAUAUGUAUGGGCCGGGUAGAGCUUUUGGACUCAGUUGUUGGUAAUUAAUUUACCAUUGAUCGAGGCUCGUGAAAUUAAAGUCCGAUGUUUAACAUCAUUGCCCGAGAUUUAUUGAAUAUCAAAAACUAACAAAAAUAAACAAUCUUGCUUGGUGCAGAUCACAGUAUACAUCAAGUUUUACACUCUUUCAUGAGUCAACACACAAUUGGACGGUUUAAAUUUUUUAUUAUUUUUAUUUUUUUUUAACACCAAUCAAAGUUUCACACCAAGGAUGAUGUCAAACAUGAUAUACAAGUGGCAUUAUUGUAAAAUAAAUAUUUUGGUCAUCUAAAUUAAAAAAAAUGGCAUUUCGCACCUCUCUUAAUAUUUUAUUUGUGAACUUAUUUUGUCUUGCAGAUUCUCCAUUGCAACAAAAAUUACUCCUCGCCAUUUGCCAUGCUGUCUUUGUGAAUGGAUUGACCUUGAAAAUUGACCCUUCUUCUGGGGUUGAGGCUUCUGAGAUCUAUCCAGAGGUGAAAUACACAACCAUGGAUGAAUAUCUGAAUCACUUCGUUUAAAAUCUUAAUUAUUUAAUAAUGUAUGUGGUGUUUGUAUACAAUCUAACUUGCUUGAUUUUGUUAUUAUUGUAGUGUGGUACUUUAAUUUACAGUUUAUUUUGCUCCUACUUGCUCCCAAUACGUUUAAUUACUUAAUGAGAUUUGUCUUAUUCGGGAUUAACUUUCUACAAAUUCAAAAUGCUGGAGACAGCGUUGCCGAAUUGAAAUAGACAAAAAAAUAAAUUGAAUACUAGUAUGCAAUUUUUCCAAAUAUAAAGGAGACGAAAUGGCGAAAUAGUUCAUAAAUAAUGUGGAUAGAAAGUAAUUUGAAUAUUUAUAAAUAAAUUUGCUUCACUAAUAGGAUAGUGAUUCAACUUUGAUUGUUAUGGAUUAGUACCGGACAAAUUUUUCUAAUUUUUUAAUGUGUUAUAUCCCCAAUAAUCUCAUUUCUUUCAAUUGAGCAAUUUUCAAAUAGCAAACGGACCUUCUCAAAAGGUAAUUUUGUUGUGGCAGAUUUUCCCUCUUUUGCAAUCAAUUUCGUUACAACACCCGCUAUAUAUUUAUAAAAAUGAGCCAGACAUAGGCUUAUUCUGCCCAUUAUUUCUCCACUUGUCUUUCCACGACAAAAUAGACGAAUGUUGUGAGCCAACCUGAUUGAUCGUCCCAUUCAAACUAUGAUUGACAGGACCAUCUAACCCGUCAAAGAAAGUAAAAUCGAUCGACCCAUCGAGCAACUUUGCUUCCUACGGUAUGAAAACCCUUUAAUGGGAAUUGUUCAUACUUCAGUGGCUCCAUUCAAUUUUGGCUGCUUUCAAUGUUGCAUUCAUUUGGAAUCGUUCAAUGGCGGUCUAUAAGGCCUACUGCCAAGAAUAAACAUGGCAAUUGUUCAAUUUCAGUUAAAAUUAAAUUAAAUAUAGACAGGUUAUAUAUUUUUCAGAAAAUACAUCUAUAAAUAUUUUGCAGACAAAUUAAAGAUACAUUCCCUAAAAUUUCUGAUAAUUUGAGAAAUAUUCCAUUCAUUUAAAAAAAAAAAUUACAAAAACCUCUAUUUCAAAUUUUGAAUAACACAUAGCUUCCCUAAGUUUAUGAGGAGGGCAUUUAUAUUCUCAUAACAUUUUUAUUUGUUGACCCACGAUUUAAUUGUAUUUAAAGUCCAAAUCUUUUCUUUUUUUAAUACUUAUAUUCCUAACAUUUUUCUUCGCAUUUUUAUCCUCAAAUCUUCAAUAAUUACCAUAUACGUGCAACAUAUUAGUUUGCUUAUCACAUUUUUAAAACAAACAAUAAAUAUAACAUUUCAACAAAAUUAUUUUUCCUCAUCUCAAAGACAAGGAUAAAUGUGCUAAUUAAUGAAAGGUUUAAAUAAAAAAUUGCAGAAAUAAAAGUUAGAGACAUAAGUGUUAUAACAAGUAAAUACUGAGGAUCGUAAGUGAAAGUAAAAUAUGAUGCAACAAAUAAAAAGGGUACUAAGUUAACCAGUCAUGAUCUCCUAAGUAUCGAUACUUAGUUUAUAUUAAGCACCGAGUGACGUGGCACACUACAAUAGGUGGCAAAAGAUAAUGGUUAAUUUUAAAACUAAUUACACCAUCCAUUAUAGUGUGCUACCAACACACGGUGUUUAAUAUAAACUAAGCACCGGUGAUCAGAAAAUCAUUUUCGCUAAUUUAACCAUCCUUAUUACAAUUUCUGAGACACCCCUCCAUUUUCAUAAAUUACACAAAUCUCACUUAUUUUAAGUUUUAAAUAAUGCAUACCUAUUCCAAUUUGCUUCUUUUCUUCCCAAGGUAAUAGUAUUAAUGCUUAAAAUACUCUUAGAAACUUUCUUCCAUCUAAUGACUACUUAUUUACAAAGAAAUACCUAAAAUAUUAUUUUAAUACUUCUAACUAAAUCAACAAUAAAGUAUUGUUUAGACCAUUAAUUCUUAAAAAUACUUCCAAAUUUGAUUGAUUUGAACAAUUACAUUGGGGGAACAGAAGAUGGCAGAUUUCUGUUUGUGACUUUGUCGACAAUGUGUCUAAAAAGAUUGACAAUUGUGAGGAAAAUGCUUUCUUCUUUGAAUGUGAUAGAUAACACAUAUAUUUCAUUAUUCAUAACUUUGCAAAUUUAUAAUUAGUUUUUAUCCUUUUUGCUUUAAUUGAGAGUUCGCAAGAAAAUGAAGUUGUUGAAUGAUUAAUCAUGUAGAGUUCAAAUGAACAAUGCGGAUGACUACUCUUAGUAUUAGUUAUAUUAUGUAUAGAGUGGUUGUUUUAUUGUCAAAAUGAAAUAUCUAGUAUUUUGUUUUUUAGAUUCUAUUUUGAGUAUGAUCUCUCUCUAUAUAUUUCUUGUGAAUUAAUAGUCUAAAUAAUACUUUGUGUUGAUUUAGUUAGAAGUAUUAAAGGUUUAUUUUAGGUAUAAAGUUUGCAAGAGUAUUUUAAACAUUAUUACUAUUUUUUAUGCUAACAUGGGGUCAAUGGGGGUAUGCGUUAUUCAAAAAUUGAAAUAUGAGAUAUUUGCGACUUUUUGUAAUUUUAAUAAAUAGAGGACUUCGGGAGAAUAUGCAUUAUUCAAAACUUGAAAUAAGAAAAGUUUUUGUAAUUUUUGAAAUGUAAGGAUUUCUAUGAAAGUUUGCGUUAUUCAAAAUUUGAAGGCAAAUGUGCAUAUAUUUACUUUUUUAAAUAAAGAGGUGUUCCUAAAAUUGUAAUAAACCUCAAAGAGAAGUUUAUGUAAUUUACCAUAUUUUAUAUUUUAAAAUUUACCAAUAUUUUUUAUUUCUUUAUUUUUAAAAACUGUCCAAUUCAUUUGGGACAUACCUUCCAGACAUGUCAAAAAGUUAAAAGUCAUGCACUAUUUCAAUAAGAGAAGUGCUAUAUGUAUAGGAAUUUUUGAUAAAUUGCGCUAGUAUUCGUUGGACGCUGGACACAAAACAAAUUUAAACCAGUUAGUAUAGUAUUGUGUCAUAAUUUUCAUAUGUACAAAUAGCUUAUUCUUUUAAUAAUGAUUUUAUAGAUUUUUGCACAUCUCAUCCCAACCUUAAGUGCAAAGCAUUGUUUCUUUCAUCGUUCUUGAAAUUCAAACAAUGUCUAUCAUGAAAAGUGGUUUUUUUCAUCGGUAAAUGUGAAUUACUAUAAAUAAAAAAUUAUGUACAAGUAUACCGGACAUACCUGGAUAAUCAAGGUUGAGACGAGUACAAGUACAGUGGGCAUACCGGGCUAAUAAAGAUUAAUUCCAAGUACAAGGACACCGGGCAUACUAGGGUGAACAACAUGAAAAAAUGAACAAAGACAAGAUCUAAAUAUCCAAAGCAGAAGACUCAAAAUGAAUUAGAACGUAUGGAUACAAAUAUAACAUAACUUUAUAUACGUGUGUUUUGAUGCUUUGAACAAUACCUUCUACUCGUGGUCUUAAAUCCUCAAAAAUCCUCCUGUUACGUGCCAUCCAUAAGUGGUAAAUGGUGCUUGCAAAAGCUAUCCACCUAGCUUUGCUUUGCCAAGUCCUUCUCCAAGCCUCUUUUUUAAUCCACUUCAACACACUAGGUAGGGUAGACAUGGAGUGCCUAAUGCCCAACCAAUCACAAAUUUUUCCCCAUAAAACAAAACUAAUUGGAUAGGAGAAGAAAAGAUGAUACUCAGUCUCAUCGGCAAUCCCACAGAAAAUGUACCUUCGGUCAGUUUCCAAAUGCUUCAAUUUGUCCUUUGUUAGUGACUUCGAUUUAGCUCCUAACGAAAGGAUAAAAGCAUGUUUCGGGAUGACAUAGGCAUUCCAAAUAGUAGCUGUCCAGGCAGUCUUCAUCCCCUUUGGCUUGAGAAAAUCAUAAGUUGCUGUUACAUUGAACUUGCUUGCUGCUGUGCAUGCUGAAAAUCUGUCCAUUGCAUCCUGGGUUGCUAGAUCAGGCUGUACAGUGCUAACUAUGGCCUGAACUGGUUGUUGAGGCUGCAAAAACAUGUCCCGAAUUUCCAGCAGUCUUUUAAGUGGUGGAGGGUUAUCUUUCCUUGCCGUGUAGUCCCAAAUGUCCUUUCCACCAAGGAAAAUCAGAUUUACCCACUUCACCCGAAGAGUAUCUUUUUUAUUAUGAACAUUUGAAAGAGUUUUUGCAAGGAUCGUCGUAUUCAACAUUUAAUUUCUAUGAAUCCAAGCCCACCUUUAUGUUUCGGUAAGCAAAUACUAGUCCAAGCAACCAGCAGUUUUUUUGAAUCCCAAAGAAAGUUCCGACGUAGGCUAGUAAUCUUAGAUGCAACCGUGGAUGGGAUAGGUAGAAUGGAAAGCCAUAAACAUACAACACCUUGUAUGACGGCUCUCACUAGCUCUACUCUCCCUGCAUAAGAUAAUUUAGCCCUCCACCAUGCUCCAAUGUAGUCCUUAAUUUUGUUGAUAAGUGCAUCAUAGCAGUUGCUUUUAAGUUUUCCCAUCGCAAGUGGGAUACCCAAGUAACGGAAGGGCAUAGAUCCUUUGGCUAAAUUUGCUAGUUGAAGAAUAUCCUCCAACUCUUGUCCAUGAACACCCACUUUGUGCAAAUUCCACUUGUUUACACUCAUCUUUAGUCCCGACAUUUCUCCAAAGUUGGAUAAACACUCCAUUAGAAUACCAACCAAGAUAGCAUACCUUCUAGCAAAUAACAUCAAAUCAUCUGCAAAUGCUAAGUGGGUAAUCUUCAAUGGGCCACAUUUAGGAUGAAAAUUGAAUUCACUAUUUUCAGUAGCCCCCUUCAAAAUUUUUGAAAAAUAUUCAAAGCAAAUAACAAACAAGAAAAGAGAUAGUAGAUCACCUUGACGAAGCCCCUUCUUUCCUUUUAUGAAUCCAUGGAAACAACCAUUUAAUGCAACGGAGUAUGAAGGUGUCAAGAUACAUUCCAUCACACAUCCAAUGAAUUUUGUUGAAAAUUCAAGACCUUCCAACACGCUUUUAAGGAAGUCCUAAUUUACGAAAUCAUAUGCCUUCCUUAAAUCAACUUUAGGAAGGCAUCUAGAUGCAACUCUUUUACGGUUAUAUUGCCUUGUAAACUCUUGAGCAAGAUGAAUGUUUUCCGUCAUACUUCUACCUUCCACAAAUGCAGCUUGUGAUUGAUCAAUAAUAUGUCCAAGAAUUGGCCUCAAUCUAGAAGCAAGGAUCUUUGUGAUAACUUUUUAGAAUAUAUUACAACAAGCAAUAUGUCUAUAAUCUCCUACACCAAUAGAGUUACUUCCCUUAGGAAUUGAAGCAAUAGCCGUGUGAUUUGUUUACUUGAGGAGUGAGCAAGAAUUGAAGAAUUCUUUAACCGCUCCCAUGAAAUCACUUUCAACAAUGCUCCAAGAUUUGUUGAAGAAACAUGAUGUAUAUCAAUUCGGACCCGGUGAUUUAUCAUCUCCAAUAGAAAACAAUGCAUCCUUAAUCUUUUGAUCUAAAAUAUCCUGAACUAGUGUCAUAGCAUGCUCAUCCGAUAACAUGGAGCCAUUCUUCAAGAUGUCAACAUCAAUAGCCUUUCCUGGACUAGCUUUUCCAAUAAAUCACAAUAAAAAUGAAGGAAUUCAUUGGCCACUUCUUGUAAUGAUGAAUUAUAAGUUCCAUCUCCUUUACGUCACAUUAGCAAUGAAGUUACGUUUUUUGUUCCUUUUGACCAUACUCACAUUUGGCAUUUUGCUAAUAAAAGCUCAUUUUCGCUUCACAAAGAUCCAUGGCUAUUGUCCUCAUUGAUGCCACCCGUUUGAUGUUCAAUAUCAAAAGGGUUCCCUUGCAACUCCAAUUGUACAAUUUUGAACACUGAAGUAGCCGUUUUAGCCCUUGAGGAGAUGUGUGAAAAAUGUUUCUCAUUUUCCUUAGCUCUCCUUUAAGACUAUGCAACUUUUUACAAAGAAUGAAUUGUUUUUUUUCCUCUAAUCAUAGAAAUUUUCAUGGUUAGAUCACAUAUUGAAGAACCUAAAAGGUUUCCUCUUGUUUUCCUCAUGUACAAAUAAUGAUACAAUGCACGAUGAGUGGUCGAAAAUGCAUCCCGAAGGGAGAAAAUCAACAAUUCAAUUAAAGUCAGCUUGUACCCAAAAAUCAUUCACCAUGGCUCUAUCAAGUUUACUCCACUUUGUGCCGUUUGUCUGAGUUUAGAAACAUCCAAUAGAUCUCAUAUCCGUAAUUCCAACAUUUAGGCAACAAUUUUCAAAGUCUUUAACCUCAUAUGGUGUAACAUCCGCCCCAUUACAUUUUUCAUUAAAGUUAAGCACAUUGUUGAAAUCACCUAUGAUUAACCAAGGCAAAGAGCAAUUGGAUCCAUAUUCAUGAUGUUGUUCCAUAACAUGACAAGCAUAGACAAAGCUAACAAGAAAAGUAAGUGAGCUUACCUUGCAAGUAGUGGAGCAAUGAGUAGCUUGUGAUGUAGUCUCCAAUACCCCCAAAUCAACUUUCAUGGAGUUCCACAAAACCAAAAUCCAACUAGCCCGACGCGUGUGAAAGUUGUUCGUUUGUGACAAUCCAUUAAAUUUAUUCCGUAUAAUCCAAUUUAAUUUUGGCUCUUCCAACUUCGUUUCCAAAAUCUUCAUAACAUCAACAUCAUGUUGCUUCAUGAAAGUUAGAACCCCAUUUUGUUUUAGGGGGAGGUUCAUUCUCCUAAUAGUCCACGUGGAAAUCUCCAUGAUGAUGAAGUAAGGAAAAUAUCCUUCUUCUUCUCUUUUAUGGCCACGACCCUCUUUUGCUCUUCAAGCUUACCUUUAAGUUUCUCAUUGUUAGUUGACUUAGAGGUCAAUCCAACAGUGUUUGAUGCAACGUCCACACCUCACUUUGCCGCAUCAUUCAUCUUAAUAUGGGUUGGAGUAUUACGCACAUUUUGCUGUCCUUAAACAAACUUUUUUCCUUGGUGACAACCUCAAUGAAUUGUCCUUCAUUCUGCUCGACAUGUUGCAUAUUCUUUGAGUUAACUUGUUGCUCAACAUUUUGGACAUCCACACCAGCAUGUAGUUGAGUAUUCACAGCCUUCUUUCCAUUCUGUUCAGCAGUGGACUGAAUCAAAAUUUCCCAGGCAAGCUGUCCAUUUUCCUAGGCCAAAUUCUGCUUAGUUUCAGGCUCAGCAAUCUAGACCGAAGUUCCACCAGCAUGCUGUCCAUUUUUCUGCGUCACAUUUUGCGUAGAAUUCUGCUUUCCAGUUAUUUUAUGAAGCUGCACAAAUCUGUCUUGUGUCCGAACGUCAUGCAAUUACUACCAAAUUUUGGCUUGUACUCAUAAAUCACUUGUUGAAAUCUAUCUUUGCCUUGGGUAUAGUCAUUUCCACGGAUUGAACAAAGUCUUUGGAUGCAUCAACCUCUCCUAAAGCCCGAGCAUAUGACAAUCUCUCUUUAUUUGACAUGAAUUUAUACGUAGAUAUUGGAUUUCCAAUCUUUGAAGCAAUUUUUGCCAACGCCCUAAGAUUCCAACAAUCCAAAGGAAGUCUCGAUAAUUUGACCCAUACGGGCAUAAUGUACACAUUAUCAUUAUCGAAUUUAAAACACCAUGACAUAGUCUUUAACAUUAACGGCAUACCAAAUACAAGGUAGGGGCCUCCAUGUAAGACCUUUGUCUAGAAGCCCCACUUUUGAAUUUGAAAAUCAACCAUCCACUCUCAUGAACAAAGAAUUGGUAUGGAACCUUCCAUGUAUAGCACAUUUGCAACAAUGCCUUCUUACCCUGGAAUCUCCUGGCAAAGUAUACGACAAGGCAAAACCCCUAUGAUUGCUCCGCAUCAUCCACAUCAUUUGCAUCCAAGGUAACUUUAUUAGGCUGGCCAUUCACCUUGUGUAAUUUUAGGCCUUCAUCAAUAUUCCUAUUAUCCUUAAAAAGAUUGACCCAAGAAGCAGUGGUAGCACUUUGGUUCAAUUUCUUACCUUCAAUUUCUUCCUUCCUAGCCUCAUGGGGUUCACCAACCGAGCUGUAUGAAUCUGUCAUCAGCCCCAAGUGUUUGGGAAACAAUUGGUGUAGUCAAAUUCCCCUACCGAAGUCAUCCCCCAAUGCACCGAUCGAUCCAUGUGCUACCUUGUUAAAUUCACUAUUGUUGGCCUGGGAAUCAUUAAUAAUCUGCCCAGCAGUAGAAUGUUUUGGACGGCCUGGAGCAUCAUUAAUCUUGAGUGGGGGCAUCCCACUAAGAUGGGCCAAGAUUUUUUUCCUACUCUUACCCAUAAAUUCAAAAGGCCCAAGUGGAUGGACGAUCCACUAAUAGAAACCAACAAAAUAAUUUAUAAUAAAGUUGGCAAAAUAUGAAUCUGAGGUUUUAUCCAAAAUGGAAAUUGAAAGUUUCAAGCUCUUCUAAACAACUGCCAAAGCUGAAAUCCAGCAGACCAAAAACACGUGAUCCACCAACUUCAAUUCAAAUUGUAGCCGUUGAAAUACAUCAUCACCGUUAGAUACACAAUAGAUACAAAAUCCUUACAACCAGCAACCAUGGAAAUGAAGCACCCACCACCCCAACAGGAUUUGAAGUGGCUGAAAACACCCAGAACUGACCAGCUGAACGGAUUAGUACACCACCAAUCUGCCAAAUCGAAAACCAAGCCGAAAUUGUGUAAUUUCGACCAGGUCUGAAAGCAAUCCUUAGGAAGAUGAAUCACCCCAAAUACUGGUGAAAUUCCAGCUGAACAGACAAGAACACGUUGAAACUAUAGAGAACACCAAAGUUGUUAAGGCUGAAAUGUCCAUAUUAUACAUUAAUCAGAAAUAGUACAUAAAAAAUAUACCAUUUACAUAAAUCCCCUAAGACCAUAGCAUCGAGUGAAGAUCCUUUUAGGCUCAGACCAAAGACCCCAUUUAUAAUAUCACAGAGACACCAAAUCUCAACCGCGAGCCCUCAUAGUCCCAAAGCUACAAAGUUAUUUCAACAGGACACAAAAUGGACAAACCAGUUCGACACAAAUCUCUCACACAGAGAAGAAUCACCCAAGGAAUGAAUAUCAUAGAGAUGAUUCUUCAGAAUCUCACAUAGAGAGGUCGAAGAAGAACAAAACCAGAAAACCCUUGUGAAGGUUCCAGAAACACGGCUCACAGAAGAGAGAAAAAUGAAAAUGACGACUUCUAACCCUAGGUCAAGAGAAAAGGGUAUAUUUAUAGUAGAAAUCAUUAGCCAUCAGAUUAAUGGGUCAAUCCAACAGUCCCAAAGCAACUACGAGAAUGGGCCAGUUAUUGGGCUCGGUUAAGCGGGUCGUCUAAGUAUCAAAGAGUGGAUCAAUCUGCUCUUUAUCUAUUGGGCUUGGAUUUUUAUCAUCAUUGCCUAUAUUUUGGACUGAUCAUGUUGGCAUCACAACCCAACAAAUUUCCACUUUGAUGCCAAUGGUCAUAUAAGAAGUCUAAUAAAAGUAAAACACAAUUUAUAUCUCUCCAAAGAAUGCAGCUUCCCAGUACUUUCAAUAAGCAUCAGAUUCAGCACCUGUACAGAACCAAAAAUAUCUAACCAGCAUCAAUGUUCAAAAUUUGUAAACAAGACUUAAACUUGUUUAACGGUAUUACCUUAGUCCCUACAUCAGCUGGAUUAAACUGAGUUGCAAUUUUCUCAAGUAAAAUAAGUUCUUUUGAAACAACAUCUCUAAUAAAAUGCAACUUAACAUCAAUAUGUUUGGUUCUUUCAUGAAAAACAGGAUUUUUACAUAGGUGAAUUGCACUUUGACUAUCUGAAUAUAAGACAACAGGGUUACUUAAUUCAUUUAUUUCAGAUAACAAGCCCUUAAGCCAUAAGGCUUCUUUUAUUGCUUCAGUUGCAGCAACAUACUCAGUUUCAGUAGUAGAUAAAGCAACAAUCGAUUGAAGUUGUGAUUUCCAACUAAUACAUGUAUUACACAAAGUAAACAUAUAAGCAGUGGUAAAUUUCCUAUUAUCUCUAUCUCCUACAAAAUCUGAAUCUACAAAACCCUUAAGUACAACACCUUCAUUACAGGCACUAAAAAUCAAACCAAGAUGUGAAGAUCCUUUCAAAUAUCUCAACAGCCAUUUUAGAGCAACCCAAUGGUCAAGUCGUGGAUUGGCCAUAAAUCUACUUAAUGUGCUAAUGGAAUGAGCUAUAUCAGGCCUAGUACAUACCAUAGUGUACAUGACAGAUCCUACAGCAUUAGCAUAGGGUACAUUUUCCAUCUGUCUAAUGUCAGAUUCAUCUACAGGACAUUGCUCUUUACUAAGUUUAAAAUGGCUGGCCAAUGAUAAUGAAACAGAUUUAGAGUUAUGCAUGGCAAACUUAGUCAACAUUUUUUUCUAUAUAUGCAGUUUGCUUCAAGCGCAGUAACCUAUAGUGCCUUUUCCUAGUGAUUUCCAUUCCUAAAAUUCUCUUUGCAUGUCCUAGGUCUUUCAUUUCAAAUUUAGCACUUAAAGACCGUUUUAUCUGAUUAAUAACAUGCAUAUUCUGAUCAAUCAGCAACAUAUCAUCCACAUAGAGAAGUACAAAAGCAACAAUAGCAUUUUCAUCAUUUCUUUUAAAAUAAAGACAAUGAUCAUACUCACUUCUCAUGAAACCAAUAGUAGAUACAAAAUUAUCAAUCCUUUUAUACCAUUGUCGUGGAGAUUGCUUUAAACCAUAUAAUGAUCUUUUUAACAAACACACAUGAUCAGAUUUAAUUUCAUCAAUAAAACCAGGUGGCUGUCUCAUAUAAAUCACUUCAUCAAGGUCACCAUGCAAGAAGAUAGUUUUCACGUCCAUUUGUUCAAGUUCAAGAUCAUAAUGAGUAACAAAAGCAAGCAUAACUCUAAUUAUUGUGUACUUUAUCACAGGAGAAAAUAUCUCAUUAUAAUCUAUGCCCUCCUUUUGCGUAAAUCCUUUCGCUACAAGUCUAGCCUUAAAUCUUAUGAGCAUCUUUUCAGUAUUUCCCUCCUUAACACUAAAGAUCUACUUGCAAUCAACAAGGGCCUUACCUGCAGGUUUAGGAAACUAAAGUCCAAGUCUCAUUUUUCAUUAAGGAGUCCAUCUCAUCUAUCAUAGCAGCAUGCCAAUUCUCAGAUUGCUUGCAGCUCAUAGCCUCUUCAUAAGAUUUAGGUUCUUUAAACACUAAGUCUUGAUAGGACAAAACAGCAAGUGAAAGGUAAUCUCCAUACCUAACUGGCUCUCUUACUUCUCUCCUAGACCUAUCUUUAGCUAAUUGGUAAUCCCCCAAUUCAUCAAGCUGACUUUCCAGAUUUUCUUGAACACUUUCUUCUUCAUUUUCUUGAGGAACAGAAGCUGUUCCAGUUUCUUCCUCCACCUGUUCAUCACCAACAGGUUUAGUAGGUGAGCCAAGCUCCACCUGCAGCUUGGUAUUAUCACCCUUUUCAUCACCAGAUAGCCCAUUUGGCUCCUUAUUUUCUAAACAAGGCAUUUUUGACUCAUCAAAGGUCACAUCUCUGCUGGUGAUGAUUUUAAAACCUUUUACCUUUUUACUCCAAAGCCUAUAACCUUUAAUCCCAUCAGGAUAUCCCAAGAAAACACAUUUCUGGGCCCUAGGUUCAAGUUUCCCUAUUCUCUGAUGGGAAUAGGUAGCACAACCAAAAAUUCUUAAAUGGGAAUAAUCAGGGACAUGUCCUGUCCAUAAUUCUUCAGGUGUUUUAUCACCUAGAGCACUUGAGGGGGUUCUAUUAACAAUGUAUGAAGCUGUCAUUACAGUUUCACCCUAUAAAACCUUAGGAACUCCUGAGCCUAUCAACAUGCACCUAACCUUAUCUAACAAGGUUCUAUUCAUUCUCUCAGCCACUCCAUUCUGCUGAGGUGUAUAAGGUACUAUUUUAUGCCUUUUAAUCCCAGUACUUUUGCACAAUUGAUCAAAUUCAGCAUUGCAAAACUCAAAACCAUUGUCUGUCCUAAGGACCUUAAUUUUCUUCCCAAUUUCAUUUUCCACCAGAAUCUUCCAAGUUCUAAAUUUCUCAAAGGUUCCAGAUUUAUGUUUCAACAAAUAAACCCAAACCUUCCUAGAAUAGUCAUCAAUCAAGAACAAGAAAUAACUAUUUCCUCCUUGAGUGAUGGUGGAUGAAGGUCCCCACAAAUCAGCAUGUAUAUACUCAAGGGUAAAGGUGGUUCUAUGUUUUCCUGUGUUAAAAUGCAGCCUAUGCUGCUUACCUAAGGUGCAGUUUUCACAAAAGGACACCUUAGAUAUAGAGUCUUUUCCAAACACACCUCUCUUAUAAAGGAUAUGUAGGCCUUUUCACCUACAUGGGCCAAUCUCUUGUGUCAUUUUAAAGUGGCAACACUUGAAGACUCACCUAUGUGAUCAUACACUGUACUAGCUUUGAUCACAUAAAUCUCAUUUCUUUUAACACUUUUAAAAAUAACAAGUGAUCCUUUUAUUACCUUCAAAAAAUCAUCUCCUAUUUUUCCUUGUAGCCCCAUAUCAUCCAAAUUUCCCAUGGAAAUCAGGUUCCUAUUUAAUUCAGGGACAUAUCUCACCCUUUCAAGGGUGUAAAUGUAUCAAUUAUCAAAUUUCAAAGUGACAUUCCCAACUCCCUCAACUCUCCAGGCUAUGUUAUUGCCCAUAACUACUUCUCCUUCAUCAAUUUUCUUAAAAUUUUCUAAAUAGGCCUUUUUAGAGGUCAUAUGGAAGGUACAACCAGAAUCCAAGAUCCAUUCUUGGUUUUGUUUCUCAUCAACCAUAUUUGCAGACUUAGGUAAAUUUUCAGUCACAGCAUAUACAUCAACUGUGGUAGAACCAUCAGAUUCUACCACAUUACCUUCAUCAACACCCUUGCCUUUUUGUUCAUUUUUCUUCUUAUAACAGUCUUUGAUAAAAUGAUCAGAUUUCCCACACCCAUAACACAUUUUAGUCCUAGUCUUUGACUUAGACCUGCCUCUACUCUUAAACUUUCUCCUAUUAUUGUUUCCUUGAUUAUUAUAACUUUCCUGAGUACCGCUAGACCUACUUAAAGUCCUCCCUCUAGCAAACAAGUUUUCAUGGGCAUUAUUACCUCUCUCAGACUUAAGUUCAAGUUCCUUACUUCUUAAUGAAUCUAUAACAAUGUCAGGUGUUAGAGUAUCUCUACCAUACUUAAUGGCGGCUUUAACCUCUUUGUAUGCAUCAGGUAUAGCAUUAAGUAGCACUACAGUUUUAUACUCAUCAGAAAUUUUCUCACAUGUAUUAAUAAUGUCUUGAACUAACUUAAUAAAAGUUUCUAAGCUAUCUUCUAAGUCUCUAGUAGGGUCUAUCCUAAAGCUGAAAAUUUUCUCUAACAGAAACAACUUAUUAGGUAGAGACUUAGGCAGGUAAAGUUUCUCUAAUUCAUCCCAUAAGGCCUUAGCAGUAUCAUGUUUUCCUACCUUUCUUAAAAUUUGAUCAGAUAAAUGUAAAAUAAUGGAGGUAUAAGCAAGUUCAUCAGAUUCUUCCUUUUGAUCAUCAUGGUAUCAGAAAAUUCAUCUGUUAGUGGUUUGGAAACUUUUUGCUGAAAUAAAACACCUCGCAAUUUUUGUUGCCAAAUGGGAAAAUCCCCUUUUCCAUCAAAAACACGAAGUUUAAAAGAUUUUGUCAUGUUUUAUUGUUUGAAAAACUAAAACAUAGUGUUUCCCAAAAAUUAAAACAAGACAGAUAAUCAACUUUUGAAAAAAUCUGUUGAAUUUGACCUUCACAAAAAUGAUGCUUUAGAUAACAGGAAAAAUAAAAUGUAAUCAGAUUACUAAGUCACAAUUAUUCCUUAUUACAAAAAAUUUCAGCAAUCUCAAGAUCAAUUAUCAUAUCAAUAUAAACACUACAAGAACCAAGGAAAUACAACAAUGUAGGCAGAAAGAAUAUCUCAGUAUUAAUAAAUAAUAUCUACAGAACCUAGGGUUGACCAAAUUCACCAGAAUUCCGUGAGAAUCAAGUUCUCAGGUCAAGGCUCAAUUUGAAUCACCCAAACUUAAACGAUCAUAGACAGAGAUCACAGAUAAAAAAUAACGAGAUAUCACCAAUUAAUGUAACAAAUUACAGUAUACAACAAUUAACCAUAUCAAGAUAGAGGCAUAAUCAAAAUAUACACAGUGUUACAUGUGUGUGUGAUCAUGUAGGGAUUAAGAAGUGCAAACCGAAGGGUGAUUAAACGAUUAACCACCAGCACUAAUCAGGAAUUAGUUAUCAUAGCAAGGGGUGAGUGUUCUCUAGAUCACCAAAUCACGAACCGAGACCUUACAGCUUCGAAGUUAGGGUUCCAGUUUAAGAUCGAAACCACAGGACCUCUUAUUUUAGGGUCCUUUUACAGAUCGAGGCGAGAAGUCAUAAAACUUUCUCGUUUUCCACAGUCCGAUUUUGAAUCAGCUCAACAAACCACCAUAUCGACACAAAUCUAGACCUAGGGUUUCGCGAUCUGAAGUCAAAUGCCUGAAAAUUAAUUUUCCAGUGUUCGAGCUCCGACCGAAGACUCAAGAACGAAUUAUUGAGGCUCUGAUACCACUAUUAUACACUAAUCAGAAAUAGUAUAUCAAAAAUAUACCAUUUACAUAAAUCUCCUAAGACUACAACACCGAGUGAAGAUCCUUUUAGGCUCAGACCAAAGACCCCAUUUAUAACAUCACAGAGACACCAAAUCUCAAUCGCGAGCCCUCACAGUCCCAAAGCUACAAAGUUACUUCAACAGGACACAAAAUGGACUAACCACUUCGACACAAAUCUCUCACACAGAGAAGAAUCACCCAAGGAAUGAAUAUCACGGAGAUGAUACUUCAGAAUCUCACACAGAGAGGUCGAAGAAGAACAAAACCAGAGAACCCUUGUGAAGGUUCUAGAAACACGGCUCACAGAAGAGAGAAAAAUGAAAAUGACGACUUCUAACCCUAGGUCAAGAGAAAAGGGUAUAUUUAUAGUAGAAAGCAUCAGCCAUCAGAUUAAUGGGUCGAUCCAACGGUCCCAAAGCAACUAUGAGAAUGAGUCGGUUAUUGGGCUCGGUUAAGCAGGUCGUCUAAGUAUCAAAGAGUGGGCCUGGAUUUUUAUCAUCGUUGCCUAUAUUUGGGACUGAUCAUGUUGGCAUCACAGCCCAACAGUCCAAAGCAGCACCAAACGAACCAAACGGACAGUGAACUGACAAUGGCCGACAUUAUCACCUGCAAAUCUAUAAUAUCUAACAAUAUACCACAAUAUCUUGUAGUAAACUUCAAGAAACUAGAAUUAAAAACUUGAGAACACCAAAAAAAAAAAAUGUGAUGUAUCAUUAGAUGUUUGAUAAGAGACUCACAGUGACAAGAGAGUCUAGUCAACAUAAAAAAUGUUAAAACUUUUCACAGCUGCCAACUAGUCACUAAACAAAAUUCAGAAACGCUUCUUGUACAUUAGUUUGUACAGCUUUCUACACAGCAUUUCAAAAAUGCUGACAUGGCAGUUGAAAAGUUGUACCAUUUAAAAAACCAAAAAAGGCUGCUUUAAAAUCAGGUUAGUAGCUGCAAAAAUGCUUCUCUAAAAAACCGGGCCAAAUAAACUUACAACCACUGUAGCUUGCUGUCUUUAAUGGAAGAAAACUGAGCCGGCCCCAAAUUAUUUCAUUUGAAAAACCCUCCACACUCUAGAAGCAAAAUACAAGUUGGCGGUAAGAGUUGGCGACUUCCUCGACUUCUUACACCUCUAGAUUUCUGACCAACACACAUAUUUUCAACCAUUGUUAACCUCAAAACUGAGAUCUCCAAUUUUUCCAAAGGUGGGAACGCGACUGCCCGUUGAACAUCAAAUGGAAAUCAAAGUGUUCAGUGCCAAUCGGAGGUUAUUCACGUACUUAAAAAGUGAUUGUGGUAUCUUAGGUCCGUUUUACCCCAGUAGAGGAUGACCGCCACAUCCAACGGAAAUCGGAUUGUUGGCGCCAACCGGUGGGAACUUCUGUAGGGCUAAAGAAGUAGAAGCUGUGUCACAAGAAUGUCGAACAAAUGUGAUUUCCAUAAUAUUUUCAAUUUGUCAGUGGAUGAGCUACUAUCUAUAUUUGGUGGGUUUAUGAUAUGCACUGGAAAUGUGCAAUUUUCUGAAGAAUUGAAAAAAUGUAUCUGAAUGCAUGAUAUUGCUUGGACAUGUUUUGUUUUUGAGAAAAUAGACAUUAUAUUUAUUUUGGUGAAGUAGAAAAAUAUUAUGCAAAAAUUACUUCUUUUGCUAGUUAUUGAGAUUGGAUAUAUUCACAAAUGAAUUUCAUUAUGUAAAUUAAGCUCCACUAGCAGUUUGUUGAAAUGAAGAAUCUUAUGAGAAUGGUUUAAAGAAGUGACAAGUACAAAGAUCACCUGGGAUUUUCCAUAUUAAAGUAUUUUUCUUCUAAUUAUGCAUUUGAAUAUUUUCUUGAGCUGAUGCAAAAAUUGGGAAAUUCCGUUUUAGUGCUGACUAUGUUCUCCUUCACUAUGUUGUAGGAAAUGAACAAGUGGACAUAUCGGAUGAUGAAGUUUUUGUAGAAUCCAAUAAUGAGAACAAUAUGAACAAUGUGAUGACAUUGGAAGAUGACAUGGUUGAAGGAAAUGAUGUGAUUGUGCCUAGGGUAGCUAUGAAAUUCAAAGAUGAAGAAGAGUUGUUUCAAUUUUACAAGAGGUACGAAUAUAAGGUAGGCUUUCCGGUUAGGCGGAUGAAUUCUAGAAAGGGGGAGGAUGGAGUAGUGAGAUACAUUACAUUGACAUGUUGUCGUGAAGGACGACGAAGCAGUAAUACAAGCUCUUCUUUGAAACCACAACCAACAAUUCAGACAGGUUGCAAAACAAGGCUCACUGUUUUCGCAGAUAUUCUUGGAGUAUGGAAAUUUUGUACUGUCCAUCUCGAACACAAUCAUAAGACAAGUCCUUCGAAGUCCAGAUUGUAUCGAAGCAAUCGAGAAUUGAGUGCAAAUGUUAAACGCAAGCUUGAAGUGAACAAUAUGGCUGAAAUUCCUUUGCACAAAAGUUACAAUUCUGCAAUUGUUGAAGCGAGUGGGUACGAGAAUAUGACUUGUGUGGAAAGGGAAUGCUGAAAUUAUGUUGAGCAAGUGAGGCAAUUGAGAUUUGGUCAGGGAGAUGUCGCGGCAAUGUAGUCCUACUUUUCACAAAUGCAAGCACGAUGUAAGGGAUUUUUCUUUUGUAUGGACUUGGAUGACGAGUCCCGACUUAAGAAUCUUUUUUGGGUAGAUAAUAGGUCUAGGGAAGCAUAUAAGGAGUUUGGGGACUUAGUAACAUUUGAUACCACUUAUCUCACUAAUAAAUACGAGAUGUCGUUCGCCCCUUUUGUCGGGGUAAAUCAUCACGUACUAUCAACACUUCUCGGUUGUGGGUUGUUAUCAAAUGAAGAUACAAAUACAUUUGUUUGGUUGUUUCGAACAUGGAUGCAGUGCAUGCAUGGUCAAGCUCCGAAUGGAAUUAUAACUGAUCAAGACAGGGCUAUGCAAAGCACAAUUCAGAUAGUCUUUCCAAACACGAGGCAUUGAUGGUGUCUUUGGCACAUAUUGAAGAAUUUGCCUGAAAAGUUAUACCAUAUUGAUAAGAGCUCAAUUUUUUCGUGUAUACAUGAAUUACUAUAUGAUACACAGCUGUCAAAGAAUUUGAAGAAGGUCGGGAAAUUAUGCUCGAUACAUUUGACUUACAUGAUAAUGAAUGGUUGUUGGGGUUGUAUGAGAAUAGGGGUCAUUGGGUGUCGUGUUAUUUAAAAAUCACUUUUUGGGCAGGGAUGUCGAUAACUCAACGUAGUGAAAACAUGAAUGCAUUCUUCGAUGGGUAUAUGCACUCUAAGACAUCGUUGAAGCAGUUCGUUGAAUAGUACGAACGAGCAUUAAGAAGUAAAGUUGAGAUGGAAUUCCAAGAAGAUUUUAAGUCUUACUCACCGAUGGUGCCCUGUGCAACGAAAUAUGAAAUGGAAAGGCAAUUUCAAGCAGUUUACACUAUUUCAAAGUUCCAAGAAUUUCAGGAUGAAAUAACUGGGAAGGUCUACUGUGAUGUGAUAUCUGCAUCAGAUCAUUGUUCAAAGAAUACCUAUGAGGUUGAGGAGGAUGUCAUUCAUGAAGAUAGGGUUAGGAAGAAAAAGUUUUCUAUCGCAUUUCAUGCAGAGGAUUGCAACAUUAUUUGCAGCAGUCACCUGUUAGAAUUUCGUGGCAUUUUGUGCAGACAUGCGAUAUAAGUAUUGAUGCGUAAUAGGGUCACAUCUUUACCGGAUAGGUACAUAUUGAGGAGAUGGAGAAGGGAUGUUAGUAGAGCCCACACGAGGAUCGCUGUGCACUACGAUGGCUUGGUUAGCACCCCUAGCCAGUUGAGGUGCGAUAGAAUGUGUGAAGUAUUUCAUUUGUUAGCAAAUGUUGCCACAGAUGAUAAAGAGCGAACUCGUGUGACAAUCGAUUGGGUUCAAUUGCUAUCUAAAGACAUAAUGUCCUGAAAGUCGAGUUGUGGCAGUAAUAGCAUUUCCCAGCCUAGUUUACAUUUAGGCUCCCAAUCUAGAGCAUCGAAGACACAUGCAUUGGGAGCGUAAAAGAUCCUCUACGCUCAAAAAGGAAGGGUGCAUCAAAGAAACUGGUCACAAAAACCCGUUGGAGUGCAACUCGAAGAAAUAUAAGGUAAUUUCUAUUGCAAUAUAUGUUUUUAUCUAUGUUCUACCUUCGUCCAUUGCAACAUUGAAUACGAAUUUUUGUGUGAACAUGUAGACAUUAAGCUCUUCAAUCAAAGGACAGAGACCAAUAGUGUUGAAAAGUAGGCUUGGACAAAAUGCACCAAGUUGCUGGACCAACCAACAAGCACAAUACUCGAUGCAACCAACAAUAUUUGUAAGUAUUUAUUAUUGCUCAUCGUACAUUAUGCAUUUUUCUAAAUCAAUUUUCAUAACAUGUAGAGUGGUGACGAAAGUACCGCACCACAACAACUGUCGUGUUCAACUUUCAUCCCCAUGUCAAUGUCAGAUGUUUUUGUCAAUUACCAAGGUAUGUGUAUGCUUUCAACUUCAUAUGUAUUACAUUUUGAUGUUAACAUCUUUCCAUGACAUAAUGUCUAUGCUAGGUAAUGCAAUGCCAUUUCACUAUCCUAAUCUUCGAUACAACGAUGGAUCACGAUGCGGAGUCAUUGAGGACACACUAAGACCCUCUACAAUGGGCGUUUUUCCGAUUGGAUUUCAGGAUGUAAGUUGCUUUUGCCUUUUUAUUUUUUUCACCCAAGUGCUGAAUUUAAUUUUUCGGCUCCAAUUUACUUGCCGAAUAUCAUUUUGAACAUAGCAAUUCCAGCCACUGCUUCCUCCAAGUGCCAUAGAGGGUUGGAUGUCCAGUGUCACCAAUUCCACACCUCAGGUUGCUGUUGCUAGAGGUCCCUCGAGUGCUGUUCAAAUACUUGGCACAAAUGGACUACGAAGCUGCGGAAAGUUGUGUUGGAAUAGCCUCACAAAAUGCUUCUUCAUCAAGGAUUGCAGAAUUUCAUCCUUCCUUCCAAUGAAGACGUGUUCAUCAAAGAUUAAAUGUUUUCUAUCAGCCAUAUUCUCCACAAAUGAUGUUUCAUAUUUUUAGCAGGCAUGUAAGGAUGGUUUGAGCAAGUGCCCAAAAGAUUUGUGUAGUUACUGUGAGAAUGUAAUCUGUACUUGUAAUUUGUAAUUUGAUGUUUUUGUGAAAGCUCAUUACAGUGUAAUUUGUAAUUUGAUGUUUUUGUAAUUUGUAAUUUGAUGGUUUGAACAAGGGCCGAAGAGAAUGUAAUUGAAAUACGAUUUUCCGUAAUUUAAUGAUUAAAGUGUUCGUGUAUGUUGAAAUUAUUAAUUUGAUUUUGGAGCCAAGAAUAGGAUUUAUCAACUAUAUAUUCAAUCGUGACAAUAGGGCAAUUGCAAGCAGGUCUCCAUGCUCUUAUCACACAAAUGCAGGUACAUAAACAUACACAAUUGUCAUGUAUUCAUUUAUUGCCCGUUUGGUAUAAUAACAGUAAAAUUGUAGAGUUAAAGUGAAAGGUUGGAAUUUGUUAGCAUCAUACUAAUUUAAGAACUUCAGUGUAAUAAUUUAAUUCCAGAAACUCCUCCCUAAACAACAUAUGAAGUCGUACAACACACUUUAUUUAAAUUUCAGAAUCAACAUCCUAAUACAUCUUCAAUUUCCUGAGACUCCUUUCCCUUUGCGCAUAUUUAUGUUUAGAGAAAUCUCCAAGCCUUUUUCCUCACUUAGCGUAGCAAGUGUUUUCAACAUGUGCGACAAAUCGUCGACGUGCUCAGCUCCAUUUGUAAUGCCACUUGAUUCACCAUCAUCAUGUAAUGGGCAUUCUUUGUCAAGGGAUUUGUUACACCACUUGAAGUACCUACAGUCCUAGGUACAACAAUGAAAAAACAGCCAUUUAUGCUCGUUGUUUUUUUCGACCUCCAACCACUUGAUGAAGCCCUCGCCAUAAUUUGGACAUCUUCUCUUCUUUGGGCAUUCCGGAAGCAUAUGUCCCGUCUCCCUACAACUAAGACAUAUUCCCUUGUUCUUGCCUAGCAUCGAACUAAUCUAAUUCAACCAAAUUCAACAAUCAAAUUAGAAUAAAAAAUACGAAUAUAAUCCAAGGCAAGCAUGGGAUACGACAUCUAAAAGGAAUAAAGUGAUUUAUGUGUGUUCUAGAUUUUACAACAGAUUCAAUCAAUACAACUUGGAAGCUCAAUGAAGUACACACGGGUUCCAGUUUCUCUAAUGGUUCAUCUAUUUUUAUCCUAUCGGAGACGAGAAAAUCGUUCUAUGGGUGAGUUAACCUCCACUCUCACAACAUGAAUCAUUUUUGAAAUAACAGGAAAUCUUUCAUCAUUCAACUUUCCUUCAACCAAAGCAAUUUUUCAUCAUUCAGCUUUCCUUUAACCUCUACUCUCACAACAUGAAUCAACAGGAACUUCAAUAACAAAUAAUUGAAAUAAUAAACAUGAACAUCACAGUUAAUGCACGAGAUAAAAACGGGGGAUAAUAUCAGAAAAGGGGUCCAUAAGACAAGUCUAAAAUUGCACUAAGAGGUCCAACAAAAACACCUACAGAAUUAGUACCAUCUAUAAUUGCACUAAUAGUAGGUAAUGCACGAGAAUUUCCUUUUAUCAAGGUCUUCGUCGAUGCCUUGUUUUUGCUUAUCGUACGCGGUCACUUGGGUUUUCAAUGCCUUUUUCUUCGUUGUUCUUCACGAAUGGGAAACUGGGAUUUCACUUCGACUGGAGGUGGCGAUCGGUUGGAGGUUGGAGGAAAUAACUUGGAUUCUUGACGCUCGGAGGUGGCGAUUACUUGGGUUGUCGUUCGAAAGUUAGGGCGUCAAUUUAGGGCUUGGGUUCUCCACGUCAUUCUCUGUAAAUGGGAAAGGGGGAUUUCACUUAGGAGAAAGAAGGGGUUAGAUUGGGUCAGUGGCUACAAAAAUCGGAGAUUUUCCUUUUCUAUUCUGUAUUAUUUCCCCCCCUCAAUUUUCCAGCUCAGCAACGUAAGGUAAGAUGUACAGCUAUACGUGUAGCGGGACUGAACAAAAUUUUUAGUAAGUUAGGUCCUUAUCGAUCUAUGAAUUUAGCUACAUUUAGUUGAUCGUGUGAAAGAAUGGUGUUGUGCAGUGUCCUCUUUUUAUUUUAUUUUUAUAUCUCAUUUUUUAAUAAAUCUGUUGGUCGAUCAUUUAAAAAAAUUAUCAAAAAUAAAUUUUGCAAAAAAUUAAAGAAAAUCUAACACAAGAAUUUUUCACCCACCAGCAAGUCCAAAUGUUCAAGUCCUCUAAAUACUACUCCCUCAUUGAGCAUCCACAAAAUAGAUUAUGCUCUAAAUCUUUGAAGUCAAGCAAAGAUUUAGUCCAGUACAAAUGUUCGAAAAAAUCCACAAGUUUAUUCAAGUUUAUCUUAACUCGCAAUUUACAAGUUCAUCACAGUGAACCACUCACUCAAUCUAUCAAUAUACUCUUAGUACAUCAUAAAUCACUAAAGAGUCUACAGAGAGGAGCAUGAAUCGAAGAGAAAAUCCUAAAAGACGACUGAGAAUGAAACCACACACACACACACACACACAUUACUAUGGGAAAAAGGAAAAUUCUAUUUGUACAUAAUUAUUGCACAUAAUGGUGUCCAUAAUGUGAUGUGCCAAUCAUCUGAUUGUUGAUGUGCAAGUGCGAGAUUUGAAUUAAAGGUUGGACUCAGUACCACGUGUAAUUAUGGAUACUAUUAUGUAGACAGUUAUGUACAUGUAGCACUUCCCAUGGGAAAAUUGGUUAAGGCCCUAAUUAAAUGGAUCACAAAAACAAAGAUCCAAUGCCUAUGAGCACACCACGUGUAAGGUCACAUUACCUUUUAUUUUUUUGUAAGGUCAGAAUUGUAGCAGUAAGGAGAAGCUUGAGUUAAUUAUGUGAGACUUUUUUUUUAUUCAUGGCCUUAAUGUAUGUUAGGUUUACAUAAAAAGUAGAUGAGAUAUGUGACCAACAGAUUCUAACACCACUUCCAUUCACGCAUAUGUUACUUGAACAUUUGGACAAAGCAUUGGUGCACGUGGUGAUAGCUUUAGCAAUGAAGGAAAAGGCUAUGGCACUCUAUUACUCAAGUUAGUAAAAGAUUGAUGAUGUUGGGUGUGGGAGAGGCACAAUAAAUGUGACUAAUAGGAUUCGGGUUGAAGAGAGAAUAUUAUAUUGUUUGCGAUAUGUGGAUGCUAUGCAAAGUUGCAUUACCUUUGCAAGGCACUAAGUAUGAGCGAUUAUAAUUGAAGGAAAGAGGCAAUUUUCAUUGAAUCCAUGGGUUAAGCUCGAUAUGUGUUAUCCUAGCUGUUAUAGGCCUAAGACCAUUUUUAAUGGGAUGAAAAUUACAGUGACAGAGAUGAGGGCACAUCCCAACUAGCAAAAAUGAGGGUGCUUCAAGGCUGGCAGAUCAGAGGUCGUGAGUUCGAUUCUUGGAAGGUUCUUGGAAGGCAGAUAUACUCCUGGAAUGCAGGAUUUAUCCUGGAAGGCAGGAGCUCUACUGAAAGGCAAGGAGCAAAGAUGAGAAACGACUUGCUUGACACUUUGACAGAUCAGUUGGAGGGCUCUUGAGCACUGGUCAAUUUGGGGCACAACCUGCGAUUUAACCUGUCUGCAACUUGAGGGGCUAAGGUGUAGACUCCAAAAUUUAAUCACUGUAAGGUGGAUACCUGGAUAUCAAAAAAAAAAUUGCAUUGACAGAGAGACGUAAUCUCUAGUGUAAAUUUCCUUUUUUUUUACUAAAGAUUAAGGGCUGUUUGUUUUGUGUGUUAAAAAUAAAAAAAAUAAAAAAUAGCCAUCCUCUGUGAUAGGCCUACAAUUAGAAAAGUAUGCAAGAAAGUUCACUUGUCGUAUACUAUAAGCGCUGCAAAAUUCGUUAGCAGAUCGUACGAAAAAUUCUAUCGGGGCAACGUUUGCAAAAGACUCUUUAUCAGGCAUAGAUUGGUCACUUCGACAAUAUCUUGUAGUAAGAUGUAGCACCACGUCUCGAAAGUACCGCUAGAAGUGUCGUUUGCUUCGGAUGAGACACCUCAAUUUCCUCGUUCACCUGUCAAACUGCUUCAAAUAUAGCAAAUGAGGGACACGAUGUGAAGUGUGAGCCUUACAUGACUUUUUAUUUUUAUUUGAAAAAGAGUUGAACCCCAAUCUUGUGAACCCCCACCGCCCCGCCGUUAGAGCUUUGUGAGUGAGGAAAUCGCGAGAUGUACCCCAGUAGGUCAGGAAAUAAGAGCUGCUUGUACAUUGCACCUACAAGGUAUCCAAUUUCAUGUCUCACAAAUCGAACUUCCAUACUGCGGUUGCCAGCAAGUCAUAAGAUAAUCUCUUGUAGAAUGAGGUGUAACAAUUUUUAAAUAAAAUAAUCUGAAGAUUUUGAAUUGUUGGGCAAUAGAUCUCAACUCCACACCUAAGAUGUUAGUGAUAUCAUAUAUUAUAAAAUCAUAUUGGUACAUUUAAAUAUCUUAACAAAAAGUUACAAGACAAAAAUAAUGGCUGAGCUUUCAAACUUUUUAAUUAGUUGGGAUUUAGCUCUCCAACUUCAAAAAAUGAGGUUUUCGAUUAUACCUAUUUAAAUUUGUGAAUUUGAAUCUCUCCGUGACAGAAAACGUCAAUAUGAACAUUAACACAGCAUGUAGAUGUCACGUUAAAUAUGCAGCUGCACCACAUUAAAUCUUCAACGUUUUAGCAUUAUAACUUUAAGUUGUGCCCGAUUUUGAUGUCCACAAUGAUGGGUUUUCUUUGAACGGACUCAAUCAAUCACAACAAAUUCACACUUGUGCACAGUGAGACUGUUUCUAAGAGCCAGCAAGGAGCCCCAUUUUGUCUCUUUAGCGGUGUAGUGUCCCACCAGAAAAUUUUCAGUUAAUAAGCAAUCUUAAUUCAAGAUUGCCAUUGGAGACACACGUCCUUCGCUUAUUUUUCCAAGCAAAAGUCUGCAAACACUUGACACUGUCGGCUCCAUUAUGUUGCUAACACUUGUAAUGUUCUAAUUAUACGAGUUAUCACUCAACUUGCCGACACCCUUUCACUCUACUACACUAAGAAACAUGGAAGGGUUAUUCUCCUUUGCCAGGGCCACAUGGGCCCUGGUAAUGCCAGAGGGAAAACUGUGAUAGGUGGGGGUAGAUAACGUAGCAUGGUCCAACAAAGAAUACAUCGACACGUAAGAGUUAUGUUGUUUUAUCAAAUGAAUUUAAUACUUUAGUUGACAGAGUAAGUGUGUGGCAAAAAAUAAUUGGAUUAUGGUAUUGACCGUUUUUAAAUAGUCGAAUAACAUUCUAUCAUUCAGGGUAUUCAAGAAUCUGACAAAACACGAAAUGUUUGAGAUUAUAAUGCGGAUAUAUUGAGAACAUGUCAGUUAAAUUUUAUAAAAUUGCGUACUUCUUAAUCUUAUGUUUUGAUCUUUAUUGGUGAAGUUUAUAAAAUCACAGAGUAGUUAUUUGUUAGGUUAAAAUAACUAUAUUACUAUACUAAACGAAGAAUUAUGCAUAUAAUAGGUUUAUAACAUGUUAGGCGUUAAGUCUCUGUUUGAUAAAUAUUGAUAAAAUGUGUAGUUAAAAAGUUAUGAAUCCCUUGAAAUAUGUAAUUUAAAUUAAUCGUUGAUUUUGAUUUAAAUUAAAAUCUGAAUUUUAAUUUCAUCAGACUGGGAAUAAAUUUGUAGGGUUAACUUUAUUUUAAUUCCCUUGAAAAGUUGAGGACAUGCUCCUUAUGUGGUAAAUAGUUUCCCAAGGGUAAAGGUCUUUGUACAAUAAUUUAUUACACUAUUAUUGACCUUUGUUGUAUUGUCAAUCAGGCUGAUUUUUUUCUUAAAUUGUCCAAUUGAAUAAUGUGUAAAGUUUAAAUCAUAGUGCAUAUUAUAAUAGUUUCCAUAUAAAAUGUUAGGUACAAUGUUUUGGCCAGAAAUUGUGAUUCAUUGCAAAGUCAAAAUCAGGGAAAUAAAUUGAACGUGAAUAUAUUUGGGGCCAAUUGAAUAAUGUCAUGUGGUAAAGCAGAAUUGAUUUACAAAAAAACAUUUGUUAGUUCGAAGACGUGUCUUAAGAGUGUCCAAGAAGUGUGCGGACACCACACAUAUCUGACACAUUUCAUAGUAAAGAGAGUCAUUGCAUGAUCCAUGGCUCUUAUAUAAACGUGGUAGCGGGACAAUCAAAUUGCUAACAAUCUGCUAUAGUUUCCUUUUCCGCUUGUUAUUUGAUUGUACAGUUGAAAUGGCAGAAUAUGGAGAGCAAUGCGUUGAUCAAACACGCCGGACUGACGAGUAUGGAAACCCCGUUCGCCAGGCCGCCGGAGGUAUCACAGGAGAAUAUGGAGCCACUGGAGGUAACGUCGGAGAAUUUGGCACCACAGGGGAAUAUGGAAAUAAAGGCGGCGGGAUUGGUGCUGGCACCACUGACGGCGCUAGCCUAACUGGUGAAUAUCAGGGGCAGCUCCGCCGUUCUGGGUCGGGCAGCUCCGUAAGCUCCACUUGCCUUUUGUUGAAUAUUAUUAAACUAUUAUGGGAUGAAUCUUACUGAAUAAAUAUAAAAUAAUUAUACAACUCUGAGGGAUUAAGUUAAUUCUAGGAGCACAUUUUUAAGAUGAAAUCUUCAAAUUUUAAUAUUAAUCGUCUCGUUUAGAAGUAUGUAUCAUUAAAGAUUAGAGUUUUCAUUUCUUUAGAUUUUGUCUUUAACAUGUCCCUCAAGUGCCUGAUAAAUUUGAUCUUAUUAAUGUCGUAGUGUCCAUAUUUAUUUUAUUGGGGGGUUUCCCGUGGUUAAAUAUUGAAAUGUAGCCCUCUCAUAAACGUGGGUCCCACGACUAUUUCCUCCUAUAUUUGAGAGGCUGUCAACCAUACUGUCAAAUAUGUUAUACGUGUAGCACUUUUUUGUCUUUUAAAAGUUGAAUCCCAACUUUAAGGGCAUCCACUGUCCUGCUCUUGGAGUGUCGAAAGAGAGAUAAAUCGUGGGAUAUGUCCCAAUAGGUGAGGGAAUAAGAGUUUGUUUAUACAUUGGUGCUCAUAAAAAAUCCAAUUUCAUAUCUCAUGGAUCGAAUCCUUAUACUGUUGAGAUUACCUCAGGGUUAUGCCUCGAGGCGCACUUUUUCGUCUUUUAAUAGGUCUAACGAAGGUUUAGGAAGAAUAAUCAUAUUUUUGACAUUGUUUACUAUGAAACUUACCAAAAGAAUUCCACUUUCAAUAAAUUUUUGACUUGUCAACGAAUACGUCAAGGAUUUAUUUUCACAAGACUUUAAACUAGUCGUACUUAGAUAUUAUAUUGAACUAACCAAUCGAAAAUAAAUAAAUAAAUGUUAGAAAAGACGCAUUUAUUUAUUUAAAUAUAAUUUUCAAUAUUUCAAAGAUUUUUGUAUUUUAUAAUUGUUGUAAUUAUUUGUAGUCUUCGGAGGACGAUGGGCAAGGUGGAAGGAGAAAGAAGGGACUCAAGGACAAAAUAGAAGACAAGUUAACCGGUAGCAAUAAGGAAGAUCAAACUUACAAUUUGGCUUCGAAGAAUACCACUCCAGCAGGUUAUGAAGCUACCGGAGAACGUGGCGAGGAGAAGAAGGGAAUGAUGGAUAAGAUCAUGGACAAACUGCCCGGCCGCAAUAAUUAAUAAUAUAUAUGUAAACAAAAUAAUAGUCCUUGAAUUAGUUCCUUCGAGAUGAAGUGAGAAACAGACCAUCGCAUGACUCUUUCGACUUGACGGAGCAUCAAUCAAUGUAUCAUUUAGUGCUUGUUUUUCCGUCUUUAAGUUACAUAAAAUGUUAUUGAAAUAAGCCAUGGCCUUGUUCCUACGAACAAAGCAUGUGCAUGUGUGCGUAUUUGCCAUAUUGUGAU
rnacentral:lncRNA from 1 species